rnacentral:lncRNA from 1 species
UUCACCUAAGCGCAUUAAUUUAUAAACAAAUCUCUGGCAAGACCGCGAUAGUAACCAUUUCUUCAAUAAUGGAUCUCCCACAUCUUCAACCACCAUUAUAGCAGGUAAUGCCAGUUUUAUCAAAUAUUUUGAUAAUGCAGACGCACACACAGACAUACACAACACUAUCUUUUCUACUAAUGCAAAAAUCCAAUCAAUAAUUCUCCUCUUUCCUACACACACACACAUAUACAUACAUGUGUUAAUGUAUGUGUGUAUAUAUAUAUAUAUAUAUAUAUAUAUAUAUAUAUAUACAUACAUUCACUCAUAUAUAUGCAUAUAUAUAUAUAUAUAUAUAUAUAUAUAUAUAUAUAUAUACACACAUACAUUAACACAUGUAUGUAUAUGUGUGUGUGUGAAUGUAUGUAUAUAUAUAUAUAUAUAUAUAUAUAUAUAUACACACACUCGCACACACACACACACAUACAUGUACAUAUGUGUGUGCGUAUGUAUGUGUAUGGAAUAUUUUAAUCAAGGAUAAUCUGUCAAAUUUAAUGAGUGAUCGAGGUUUUUUGUGGUUUGUGAGUGAGCAGGAAGAGAGAGAGCAGAGUGUGGAGAAAUGAAUAGAAUUCCGCGAGGGUGGAGAAGGAUAAUUUCGGACAGUGCCCGUAACCUGAAAGAGGAGCAUUAUUGACCAACUUUAGCUGCUGCUGCUGCUACUACUACACAUUAUUAUAUACUUAGCUUACUUAUUAUACACACAUAUAUAUAUUAUAUAGGUAUAUAUGUAUGUAUAUAUUAUAUAUAUAUAUAUCAUAUACAUAGUUUAUAUAUAUAUAUAUAUAUAUACAUAGAGAGAGAGAGAGAGAGAUUUGUGUUGUUUAGCCCUAGGUCAUCCCUUAUCAAGUAAUCUAAGAUCAAAUUUUAUACACCCUCCCCAAAAUUGUGACCUUGUGCCUAAUUAGAGAUCUAUUAUUAUUAAUUGUUGUUAUUGUUAUUAUUAUUUUUAUUAUUAUUAUUAUUAGGAUUACAUUUUUUUUUCAGGCAUAAUGUAUCUAGGACUAAAUUAUUCAAUAUCUUUAAGAGAGUCUGUGGUUUGUCUGUUAUUUGAAUCGUGUCGAGUCGACAUGUAGACGUUGUUGUGUGUGGUUGACCCAGCUCGAUCGCAGUGUUUUCAUAUUUCUACACACAAUGAAUACCUUUAGGUUUCUACGAAAAUGUUCAAGAGUCUUCCUAGCAAUAACCUCCUAAUUAAAGGUGGAAUGGCCUGUUACUAGUUGGUUUGUGUGAACGGUGUGUGCCACAAACAAUAACGUCCAUUAAUUCGUGCCACAGCAGUUUAAACGUGAAACGGAGGAGGUCGGGGAAGAAGUGGCGGCGGAUUUUUCUGUCAGAAUUUAACAAACUAAUUUCAAGCACCUGUGUGUGUGUGUACACAUACACAUGUGUGUGUAUGUAUACGUCUAAAUGUAUGUGGUAGGGCGUAUGUGACUAGUGGCUGUCAUUGUUGGUGAUUAACUGCCGGAAUUGAAAGUUGUUUGUGAAAUAAUGAAUCUCUCUCUCUCUCUCUCUCUCUCUCUCUCUCUCUCUAUAUAUAUAUAUAUAUAUAUAUAUAUAUAUAUAUAUAUAUAUAUCUUCUAUCUUUCUAAAUGUGUGUAUGUGUAUAUAUAUAUAUAUGUAUGUAUACAUGUACGAUAUUUUUCUCUUACUGUUUAAUCUUUGUUUCUGUAACCUUUUAUUUUCCCAUUUUAUGGGAAAGGAAAGGGUGACAGAAGCAGGGGCAAAAAUCAGGUACGAGGCAAGGGCACACGCACGCACACACACAUAUUUUUCGUGUGUGUGUGUGAAGAACAAAUAUUUAUAUAUAAUUAUUAACGUCACUGUUUUAAUGUCCACUUUUCCAUGUUUGCAUGGAGCAGACGAAAUUCAUUGGCGCAAUUUUUUUUAACGACCGGAUGCCUUUUCUGUUGCCGAUGUUCACCUGUUUCCAAUAUCUAAAUCACUUCAUUCCCUGUGUACGCUUGGUAAGACAUUCCUGAAGGACUGCUGCACUCUGAUGCACAGCAGUGUAUUACUUCUUCAGAUACAUAUACAACGUGGAUGUCACUCCCUCUGUGACCUCUGUAGAACUCGCAGAGCUGGCCUUGGAUUUUUCUCGUCCAUCAUCAUUAGCUCCAUCAUUCAAUAUGCUGAUCACUCUAUGGAUAGCCAGUAUAUGAUGCUGUAACCCAUCUAAUGAAGCAUUAUUCUGAGAUUUAACAUCAGUCGCCCUUCCCAUCCCCUAUUAAAAUGUACAGAGCGCAUCAGGUAACUUCACAUAAAUCUCACCUCCAGUUUGAAUAGUUGUACUUGGAUGUCUCCACUCAUACAAUAACACAGAUCUACUGCACCAACUCCAGCCUGGCCUGACCAUAACAACAUGUUUUAGCAGAGCACCACCUCCUUUGGACAGGUACACUCUCUUUCAGCUAUGGUUUAGCUUAUUCUAUGAUCUCUCUCCUAUGAAUUAGUGCCUGAUCUUCCAGCCUCUACCCUAAUCUCUCUAUAGUUACUCACCUAAACCCUCACUCCAUCGUGGUGAAAUAACCCUUGCAAAUGGUGUAUCACAUCUUCCACCGACUGCUUCCAAUUGCUUCUCAUUCGAAUCUCUUCCCUCUCAUGCACACCUGCUGUGGGGUCUGUUGCCUAACACACCUGUCACAGCUUCUAAUCCCCUUCCAAAACAUUCUCCCUAAUGACACCAGAAUCAAUCGUUCUGGCCACCCCAUAUGAAGCAUAUUGUGGUUCCUCUCUAACUGCUGGUCCCUUGAGUACUACACUGCAGUCACUUGCCUCUCUAAAUCUUCUGGUACUUCCAUUGAGGUUUUCCUCACCCUAGCAAGACAUCUUCUUUAUUUUUCCCUGAGGGUACAAUAACUAUUCACAGCUGCAAGUCAGAUUCCUUGAUCAACUCCCUUAGGGUCUCCAGAUGUCACUUUACUAUCAUUUCUGCCACCUUCUUUGUUCAAAUUCUCUUUUUACAAGUAAUUGUUGAUCCCAUCCACCCAAGCACAGUCACUGAAUCAGUUCAGAUUAGGACAUCUCACAACUAUAUUUGUUCUUUUCACCAUGGCAUCCAGUUUGGCCCCAUUGAUAUGGUUGCAUUUGUCUUUCUUUCUAAGUCAGCCUCUAUCCUCUGCCUUCCACUUCACCUAUUUCCAAGACAAUUCCCUCCCAUUGAUGUGCUACUAGCAUCACACCACCCAACACUCCUUUCAGACUCGAUACAUUUCAAUUUCCUCUCACUAGAUUUUCCUUUUUCACCCUCUCCUAGAUAUCCUUCAUUGUUGCAAUUGUCUUCUCUCCAACUUUCUCUCACCAGCCUACUCCACCUGAUCCCCUCUUUACAUAUCUACAUGCAGUUCAUAGUCACCCAGUGAUAGGGUAGUGGCCCACCAAUCACCUGCAUAUUGUAAACAGCUCUUGAUGACUUAGAUUUCCAUUUCCUCUCUGAAACACUAGCUCACCUCCUUACCUGUCUUUCCUCAGCCUCAGUCCCAAUACCACCCUUCCUACCAAAGAUUCUGCUAGUUUUGCUGCCACCCCAAACUUCUUUAGAUGACCCACAACUUUUGUUGCUGUCACCACCAUCUUGUUCAUCAAUAGGAUUCUCUAUAGGAUUUAGUGGCACCUUUCAUUUUAACUCUCCCAAUAUCACCCUGAAGAUUGUUGCCAUGAUCUUUGGCUCUCAGUUCAGUCUAAAUCUCAACUUGUACUUCACCUGCUGAUAAAUGUUUUGGCUACAUGAUGUGGUAGAUAGGCUGACUUCAAAUCUACACCCAUAGAAGCUACCACCAUCUGUCUCCAUUCAUUUAUGGCCUCUUCACCAGUAUUACAUGUUAUAUGGUCAUUCAGCUCCCACAAAUCCUACACUGGCCUGACUUUAUUCUUUAUUCGUUGAACAACUGCUAUUAGUGGCAGCUCCCAAUUCUCCACUUCUUCUUCCCAAGACAUUAGAAUACCUUCCUUAAUCCACCUCUCUGCCUCCUUCUCAAAUUUGGCUCUCACCCCCACUUUUAAAAUGUCUUUAUAGUAGCUUGCUUCAUUCUUCAAUACUAGAGAGGCUCACCAUUCCUGAAGCAUUUGACUGUCUAUUGCUUGCCACCAAACACAGUUUGGAAACCCUUGUCCUUAAUCUUACAAGGAACAUCCACUGCUCCUUGGAUUAUUUUGACAAGAGCUCUGACUCUUCUACAGUAUAUUCACAGCACAUCAUGCCCCUUCAAACUCUACCCUUUCCUCACUGACCAGAAUUUUUGCUAACCUGAUCGUAUCCAUCUCCAAUCCAAUAUGUUGGUGUAUCAGAACCCUCUAACUAUCAAUUGCUUUCCAUAUACCAUCAACUCAUCAGCACUGGAACCCUUAAAAGGAACUUUCUUCCCAUCAAAUGCUCACCACACCCCAGCUAUCUAUCAGACUUGAAGUCACUUGAAGGUGGUUCUGCAGCCUCUAUCAUCCUCUAUCAUCUGCUGCUUUUAUCAGAUAUUCCACCAAAGGCAACAAAUGGUGUACCCCCACUUGACAGGAUAGCUGCCAGCAUCCUUCAUUUUCCUGAUUCAAGGUUAUCACUAUAUGACCAGUCAUCUAGUUACAUCAAUACCAGAGCAAUUCCAAUUUGGGCUCCUUGCCACUUCUGACCAUGUGCAGCCAACAACAUCUGAACCCUUACCUUUGAAUUGUUACACUCACUCCUUUUUCUCUUCCAACCCCUUACUGCUUUCAUCUUGCCAUCUCAUUGCACUUUGACCUACUGUAGCUGCUGCCACAUCAUUAGCUCAGGUCUCUAAAUCCCCUGUAGCCAUGGUCUCAAAGUCUGGCAACUACUAUAGUCCUAUCAAAAUAUGAUCAAGGAAACCUGUCAUAAAUGCCAGCCUAACUGUCCUCUCCAGCCCUUUUCCAGAGUAUCCAGCCAGUUCCACUAACCUUCUGACCUUAUUGAACACACCUACCUGUUUCCCAGCCCAUCUCACUCUUCCCAGCCUGUCAUUGGCCACAAAUGUUCCCUUAAUAAAAUUUCCUUUUAAUUGGCAUCUAUUUCCCCCCACAUCUACCUGGGUUUCUUCAUUCAUAUCUGGAUGCAGUCACAAUACUGGUUUCUCUAAAUCACUGAUUCCCUGUAGUUGCACAAUCGACCUAACCUUCUCCCCCCAUAUCACUUCAUCUCUUUCUCUCUCUCCCCCCUCUAAAUGGUCUUAUCACCUUGCACAUGCUCAUGUAGUUGUGAGCUGAAUAAGCUUGUAAGGAGGAUUAGGUGAACAGAGAAAAACAACUCAAGGCAUCAAGCGACAUCACAGAAGGAAGAAGUUUGUUCCAUGUGCAGAUUGUUUCUUACACACUCCUUGUUCUCCCCAUCUGCACUAACUACUGACACCUGGUUCUGUUAAAAAAAAAUGGAAGGACCCCUACACGUGGCUGACUUUGCCUUCAUUCCCACCACAUCACCUACUAUCUUAGUUUAUAACAUCACACACACACAUCAUAACUUCUAAACACUACCCUUGUGUCGAAGUACCUUUUGCCAAGAGUGGAUUGUUUUUCUGAGUAACACUGCAUAUCACUCAUCUGUGUAUGGUCGUUUGUCAUUUCCUAGCCAAUGCAGAUCAGUCUUCAUCACUUUGACCCAGGAAAAGGAGACUAAGUCUUUCUUAGUCUCCCUCUUCUGUAGAUUCCACUGACUUGAAGUACUUGGUACUUCCUUACACAGCAGUCAUCCUCUAUACAUAUCACAGACCCAGCACAGCCUCCUCUCUUUUGCACACCUCAUUCCUCUUGUACUCAGUUUUUCUCUUACCUUAUUUGUACUGUGGUAUUCAUGCCCACUAACAUUACACAUCAACUGCAGCAUGCUGUCUUCAUAUCUGUCAAGUUCUCACAAAAGUCUGCAUUCAAGGCUCAUGUCUUGCUUUCAUGCAGUAUUGCAGUUUUAACACAAGUAUCUUGCAAUCUGCCUUUCACUCUGAGGGCAAGACCUUUAUUGCUUGCAGUGGUAGGAGCUCAGUGAACUUUUUCCAACCCAUUCUCACCUUGGUUACUACAUUUUCUGGACCACCGCCACUGCUAAUCAUGUCUUCUAGGUAACAGAAGCUAUUGAUAACUUAUACUGAGUCAGCCAAGCAUUUAAGAGAACCCCUAUCCUAUGGACUCAUAGUAUGCAACACUCCAGCUCUUGAUCAUUGUGUCCAACACCCCAGUGCAGGUGAUGGGUUUGACCCUGAAACCCUAUGAGAAGUGAGGUGAAAUCACAUAGGUACAUGUCCCAUCUUAUUUGAAAUAAAUCUUCCUUUCAUUCCCAAAUACUUCAAAUGUGAGGUAGGAUGGAUUUUUGCUGUAAAUUCCAUUGAAUGGCAUCAGCCACAUUGCUGUCAAAGACAACUGGUUGAAUUAUCCAAUUAAACUUAAUGCUAAUGAUGUACACUCUACUACAACCCAUGUUAUGUUCACAGAAACAUUCUCAGUUGUUCAGUUAAGUGCACUUGCGGUGAUCAACAGAACCAUUUAACUUAAAUGCAGCCUCGUUGCACUAAAAUCAAUUUUGUUUGAAACCACAUCCUCUGUACUGUGUGUGCCUGCUACCAUUGUGAAAUUCAACUCUUUUGGUUGGAAUCUUCUUUGUUGUAACCAUAGACUAAUGUUGGAAUAAGGCUUUUUUUAAUGGAAACACUUCAGAUGCCUUGAAAGAAAGGUGAAGUGAAAAGGUGGUGGUAGAAGAUACACUUGUCCAAAAUUAUUCUUUGUUAUGUGGAUGGCAUGGUGUAGUGAAUAGGAAAGAGAGAGAAAAUGUAUGAUGGGAACAGCAAAUGGAGGCUUCACAAGGCUGAAUUAAGCAAGAGAUGCGAUUCUAGAUAUUUACACCUCCCAUCUUGUGUCACAACCAAAAUUACAAUGCUUCAUUCACCAUGCUUGCUCGGGUGGAAUGGGUUUUCUCAAGCAUUGCAUAUUACCAGUCAUCAUGGUCGUUUGGUAUCUUCUUUGUGAGGCUCACCAUCAUGGUACUGGUCUUCACCAUUUUGUUUCAUGUUUUCCUGGCUCUUCUUUCAAACUUCCAUUCACUUUGUGUGUUCUACACUGCUUUCUACAGUUGUCAUUCCUUCCCCACCCCCAUAUACACCACAUGCUCACAUCAGUGCAAUCUUCUCUCUCGUACACUUAGAACCUUAAAUCUCUUAUAUCUAGUUUUUUUUCUCCUCUCAACUCAUCUGUGUUACAUCAUUCAUUCAUACUGACAUUCCACAUCCAGUAAGCCAUACUAACUUCAUUGCUUUCUAGUUUUCACAAGUUUUUCUACAUUCAAAACCCAUGUCUUGUUGUCAUGAAGCAUUACAGUUCAUACACAAGCAUCAUACAAUCUGCCCUUCACGUUGAGGAGAAACCCUUUCCAACAGAAGUAACAGCUCCUUGAACUUUUUCCUUUACAGAUUAUCAACCUCGUCCUCCUCCUCCUCUAUUUCAACUAGACCAUCUCUAAAUCUAUGUCUAACGCAGCAAUCUUUCCUUUCCCAAUCCUUUCUGUGUUGUGUCCCUGAGGCUGUCUAGCUCUUACUCUGAUUACUGUGUUUCGAUACACCCACCACCACCACCACUGUGAAUUAGGUCACCUAGGUAACCAAAUUCACCAACUACUUCUAGGGUACCCCCAUCCAUGUCACUUAGGUAACAGAAGUUAUCUAUAAAGAGAUUCUCCUCUGCAUUCAGGACUAUCUCUUUCUUAUGCAGUCUUAAGUUUAUGGCUCCAGCACAUCUGCUGCAUACAAAAUUUACUUUGUUAACCUACCUGUGAUUCCUUUGUACCUCUUGUAUGUCCAUAGUUUGCAUUGGGUACAUCACGUAGAAUUUCUACCUACUCUUCCUUUUCUACAUAUUGAGCAAGGGCAACUUUGAAGCUCUUUAAUUCAGAUUUUGCUUCCAUGCCUGAAAUUUCUUCCCUAAUCUAAUCCUACAACAGAUUCAUCUAUAAGAAUGAGGUCAUCAGUAUAUAAGAGUUCCCACAGAUACCCAAUCUUAAACUCCUCUGUUCUGGACAACAGUGAUAAAUAGAAGAGGACUGAGCACUGAACCUUGGAGGAUUCCUACCUUCACACUAAAAUCAUUAUUGCAUUAAUUACUAAUUCUGACUUAGCUGACAGCUCUGUACAUGGCUUGUACGGCUCUUAUAAGCUAUUCAUCUACUCCUAGCUUCCACAGCAAAUACCACAUCGCAGAAUAAAGGACCCUGACAAAGGCUUUCACCAGGUUCACAAAAACCAAGAAUGGUGGCUUACUCUUAGUUAAGUACUUCUGCAGUUGUCUCACUAGGAAUAUGGCAUCAGUGCUAUUUCUUCCUAACCAAACUGCAUUUCAUCUAGGCUAACUCUCUACCCAAUCAGCUGAGCUAUGACUUUCUUGGCCUGGUCUAACAAUUUGACAUCCUUGAAAAUACCUCUCCUUGUUCAUACACAGGCAUCAUACAGUCUGCCUUUCACUCUGAGCAAGAGGCCCUUUGUUCACCUUCCACGCACAAAAACUAUUUUCCUUAUUAACUUUCCUCUGAUAUUGCUGUGCCUCUUAUGUGUCCAAAGCUUACACCAGGUGCAUCUUUUGGAGUUUCUAUCUACGCCAUUCCUACAGAUUGAGUAGGGCCAUCUAUCUGAAGGGAUUUGUGAUUUGUCUGCUUUCCUACUCUGGUUUUUGCUAAGUUAACUCUAAGGCCCUUCGAUUCAAGACCUUAUUCCACACCUGAAACCUCUCUAGUUCUGGUAGUGAUUCAGCUAUAAGAACAAGGUCAUCAGCAUAGAGGAGCUCCCAGGGGCAGCCUGUCUUGAAUUCCUCUGUUAUUGCCAGGAGGACUAUGAUGAACAAAAGAGGGCUGAGGACUGAUCCUUGGUGAAACCCUACUUGUAUCCUGAAUUCUUUACUAUACUCAUUGCCAACCCUUACCUUACUGACAGCAUCCCUGUACAUGGCUUGUACAGUUCUCACCAACCACUCAUUUAUUCUUAUAGAUAUUUAUAUAUUUACAGAACAACUUUACAUGGCAUAAAAAAUUCCGGAAACUAGGGAAGAGGGCAUGGUAUUUCAGGGCUAACAGCUGUUUCGAGGGGGGGGAUCUUAGAAUUACAAAAUAGUUGUAAUAUUGGCAGAUGGAUUGUGCAAAAUGUCAAGGAUCAGCAACCAGAAAUGGAUGCAUAUAAACAUUACUAUAAAUCCAGCCUUCGUCUUCAGAGUGGAAAGAUAGGCAACUACACACAGAUAGGGGCUACACACAGAGAGGGACAAACAAGGACAGACAGACGGAUUAAGUCGAUUAUAUUGACCCCAAUGCGUAACUGGUACUUAAUUUAUCGACCCCGAAAGGAUGAAAGGCAAAGUCGACCUCAGAACGUAACAGCAGACGAAAUACGGCUAAGCAUUUCGCCCGGCGUGCUAACGAUUCUGCCAAGCUCGCCGCCUUUAACUAGAAAUAGCCUUCUCUCCUAGUUUUCUGUAUGUUUUGCACUCCAUGUAAAUCUGCUCUGUAAAUAUAUAAAUAUCUUUUGGCUUAUACAUGAACGUUCAUCUUCCGAAUAUUUUCAGUUUUUGUUUCUCUCUCUCUAUAUAUAUAUAUUUACAUAAGGGCCUCUCACUCAGGGUGAAAGGUAGACUGUUUGAUGCAUGUGUGCAAACUGCCAUGCUACACAGCAGUGAAACAUGGGCCAUGAAUGCUGAGGACAUGCAUAGGCUUGAUAGAAAUGAAGGUAAUAUGAUCUGCUGGUGGAGGCGCAAUGGCCCAGUGGUUAGGGCAGCGGACUCACAGUCGGAGGAUCGUGGUUUCAAUUCCUAGACCAGGAGUUGUGUGUGUUUAUUGAGUGAAAACACCUAAAGCUGCACGAGGCUCCGGCAGGGGGUAGUGGCGACCCCUGUUGUACUCUUUCGCUCCCCAACUUUCUCUCACUCUUUCUUCCUGUUUCUUGAAUAAUGCUGCGAUGGACCUGCGCCCUGUCCAGCUGGGGGAACACAUACGCCACAGAAACCAGGAAACCGAGCCCAUGAGCCUGGCUAGGUUUGAAAAGGGCGCAUAAAUAAAAAAUGAUCCGCUGGAUAUGUAAUGUUAGUGUGCAUACAUGACAGAGUGUAAGCGCCCUGAGAGAAAAGUUGGGCAUAAGAAGCAUAAAAUGUGGUGCGCAAGAGAGGCAACUGCAUUAGAUGGCCAUGUGUUAGAUAUGAAUAAAGACGUCUGUGUGAGGAAGUAUCACUCUGUAACGUCAAAAGGAACCUGUGGAAGAGGUAGACCAAGGAAGACAUGUGAUGAGGUGACGAAGCAUGACCUUCGAACGUUAAUUAACAAUUAAUGGGCUUAGGCUCAGCUCUGCAUAUACCUUUUACUCUUCUUUCUACAAAGAGAACUUCAUAGAAAUUGCUAUUUAAAUCAAUCUCGCGUGUGUGUGUGUGUGUGUAUAAACACAUUUACAUAAUAAUACAUGGUUAUUUUUCAUAUUACUUGUAUGUUUACGCUUUGAAAAGUUAAUGGAAGACUAUUGGUUUUUACACUUGCUAUAUAUUCUUUCUAUUAAUUAGCAACAUAUCACCUAUCUGUCUAUCUAUAUAUCUUUGUAUGUAUGUGUAUGUAUAUAUUUAUUAUAUAGAAGGAGCUUCUACAGGACUAGUACUGUUUCAUUCAAGAGAAAUCUUCAGGAAGCUUCCUGAAGAUUUCUCUUGAAUGAAACAGUACUAGUCCUGUAGAAGCUCCUUCUAUAUAAUAAAUUAAUUUUACUCUGCUAUGUAUUGAGUACCUUACUUACUGUGGUUAACCCCGAAUCAACCCGGGACCUACAUAUGUAUAUAUAUAUAUAUAUAUAUAUAUAUAUAUACAAAACACUAUAACUGAAACACGCACACAUGCAUAUAUUGUAUUUCUCUAUAUUGUAUAUAUAUAUAUAUGCAUGCAUGCAUGCGUGUUUCAAUUGUAGUAUUUUGUGUGGUUGCUGCUGCUGCUGCUAGGUGAUGUGUCACUCAACCACAUGACCACAGCAUCCACACCACAAAUGUCUUCUUUUACAACUACUUCCUAUUUUAACUUCCCCCCUCUCUCUCUGAAUCAUCAACAACAUGUCAACAUUUUCACUGUUGAAAAUAUUCUAGAAACAGAUUAAAUAUGUCGAGGUUGUAAUUUUAGUAUGUGUUGGUCAAAUUAUAUCGAAGUCGUGUUUCAAUUAUUUACUAUCAGACUCACAUUUUCCCGGUGCAAGCAGACCCAGAGAACCAGUCAACGUUCUCUGGAACCUCUUUAUCAAAAUAUCUGAUUCUUCCUCAUCAGCUCAAAUAAUUGCCUUCAAUGUAAACAAGCAGCAAGCUCUCAACUAUAACUCUCUCUCUCUCUCUCUCUCUCUCUCUCUCUCUCUCUCUCUCUCUCUCUCUCUCUCUCUAUCUAUCUAUCUAUCUCCCCCUCUCUCUCUAUUCCCCCGCUCUUCCUCUCUCUCUCACUGACACACUCUUUCUAUGAAUUUAAUAUUCGCAAGAAAUUUGUGGUUUAUAUCUGUUUGUGUACGUAUAUAUAUAUACGUAUAUAUAUAUAUAUAUAUAUAUAUAUAUAUAUAUAUAUAUACACGUAUAUUAUUCUUUAACAAGAAUAGUAUUGACAGUGACUUCGAAGUUUUAGCUAGCUAAACCGUCAUUGGACUAGAAUAUAUGUAGAGAUAAACUUAACAUCGUUGAACUGUCCGAUUAUUCUUGCUAAUAAUAAAUUUGUACUCUGCCAGAUGUAUUGAAUAAUCCUUCAGCGUAAUAUAAAAUGGUUUUUAUUAAAACAUAAAACAAAUAUUAACAUAUAUAUAUAUAUAUAUAUAUAUAUAUAUAUAUAUAUAUAUAUAUAUACUAGCAGUAUCGCCCGGCGUUGCUCGGGUUUGUAAGGGAAAUAACUAUAUAAGCAUUUUUAGAGAGUUACUUCUCUUAUAGAUGCCUAUUUGGGCUUUCUUAGCCAUUUCUGUUUUGGUGUCUUCAAGCCAUGAAGUCGUUGUUCUAAAAGAACGCUGGUCUCCGUGACAACGCUUUACGACGUUAAUUUCCUUACACUCCCUUCCCCACAGCUUCACGAGGGAGGGAAGAAGGGGGAGAAGCAAACAGGUGCAGGUGUGACCAUGGUCGCCAACUCCGCCGCCAUCGACACACGAAAAAUUAUGCAUUAAAAUGGAAUAAAAAAUGAUGUUAAAUUAUUUUUAAAAUCGUAGACUCAUCGUAGACGCGCGCUAAUACCCAGACGGGCUCGAUAUGAAUCACGACUAUAAGAUACCCGAAUUUGGUUAAACUGCACUGCAAAAUGUGGGAGUAGUUAGGAAUCUAAAUCGAAGGAGACAGACACUCACACAACUACAGUUUUAUAUAUAUAGAUAUAUAAUGUGUAAAGGUAAGAUCCAAGGAUCAAGAUGUAGGAAGUUAGUAAGCUUCAAGCAAUAUAUAAUAUGUAUAUAUAUAUAUAUAUAUAUUGUUAUUAUUAUUAUUAUAUAUACUAGAAGUAAGAGCUAAGAAGCUCUAAUGCUGUAGUUAAAGCACAUAAUUGUAUACACAUGUACUGACAGGGACUGUAAUCGCCCGAAAGCACUGGUUGAGAAUUCCCUAUACUGAUUGGUCAAUUUCAGUUAAUUUUGUUGCCUCUUCAGUAGGGAUCUCUCACUUUCGUGCUUAGCAGUCGUUUGCGGCAAGACACAUUUUUUUUCUCUCCUAACACGCCAGCUCAAAGUUUACUCGUCCUGUCAAAAGAUGUCUGUCUGUGAUGUCCUGUUUUUGUUAUUAUUAUUAUCAUUAUUGUUUUUACGUAUUUUUGUAUUCUUAUUCGUGUAACACCGUCCGUUUUUCCGUCCUUGUUUUGUAUACAUUCGAGGCUUUCUUCCGAGGUAUCUAAUGCACUUGGCUUAGAUUUUCCUUUGGGGCUGGCCAGAUCGGAGCAAUCUCAAGAUUAAUCAGCCGAAAUUGCGAGGAUGAUCCGGUUCUUGACUGAAGAUCGAAGGCUUCGAAUGUCCCGUCUGUGUUUUUUGUAUCGUUUUCUAAAUGUUUUGCGUUCUUGUCCCAGUUUGUAUUUUUAUAUAUAUAUAUAUAUAUAUAUAUAUCUUUAUAUAUAUAUAAAACUGAGAAUGUGUGUCUGUCUGUCUGUCUGUCUAUCUGUCAGUGUGUUUCCCUAAAACUUGAGAACUACACAACCAAUUUCAUUCAAAUUUUACACAUGCCUUACUUAGGGUCUGGGGAGUGUCAUCGGCAAAAAAAAAUGUUCAACUUCUUGCCUAGAGCAAUCCCAUAGCAAUAUCAUAUCUUCUCCACUAUUUCAGUAUUAUGUGUUAAAAGUGAAACAAAAACAUUUCUCUAUUUUAUGUCAGAUACUUUCACUUUAACAAUAAAAAUAAUAAUAACAAUUGAAUUAUAUGUAGUAAGUAAUAAUUAAAAUCAAACUAAAGUAACAUGACAAAAGUAAAAAUAGCAAUUGGUAUAAAAUUGCAUCAAUGAUUUGAACUUGAAUAAGUGGUUUCACAUGAAUGGGAAUAAAUUAAAAAUAAAAUUAGUGUGCAGAAAUGGAAUAGUCCAGAUGGAUAAUAAAAAAUUAGAUUAAAGAAAAGAUUAUUGUCUAUAAAGUAUACAAUAUAGAGAAAAAAGAAGAUUUGAACGCAUGGAGGAAAGCACCUUUGAAAAGUGUCUUGGUGCGACUAUGAAAGGUAUCUAAUCAGAGGCGGUAAAUUCGCCACAAUAGAAGCAAGGUUUGAGUCAACAGAGCGUGCAAGGGAGUACUCGACUCGAACUUGCAAAGUGGAAAUAUUUUAUUUUUACCUUUAUAUCUGGGACAUAGGACGUCCCGGAAAAAAAUUUUAAAUGCCCCCCCCCCCCCAGAAGUAGAGGUAGGCUGGAUUGUAGCCACACUUCUAUACAAGAGGGAGGACAAGAUACAAUUGAUCGAAAUUACAAGAGACGGGCUAACAAUUCCAGUCUGUUAUAUAUUUUGAGUAUUGUUAUCACUAGCAAUAUCAAGAUAUAACUUUGUAUUUUGUAUUUUAUGUGUAGAUGUGUACAUGUAAUAUGUACACAUAUAUAUACACAUAUAUACAUGCACUAGCACUAUGACCCGGCAACGACGGGUCUUUAAUGCUAGUAUAUAUAUAAUGGAUAAAAAUUUAGCUAGGUGUUAAAUAACCACCUAAAUAAUAUUAAAUAUCCAAAGAAUUUACUGGGGUUUUUUUUUACCUAUAUAAAUAAUGUUAUGAGCGAUAGUUCAAAUAGGCAAAUAAAUAAAUAAAAUAAAUAUACAGUUUAUCAAUAUAUAAAUAUAAAUUAGAAAUCAUUUAAUGAUAAAAUUAUUAUUUUGGUUUCCAUUUCUAAUUUAUAUAUAUAUAAACCAACCUUACUUGGACUUGUACCUCAAAGGGGAACUUUCUGUGUGCAAUCCCAUGGUCAUUACCCUUUAUAUAUAUAUAUAUGGAUAUCAUCAUCAUCAUCAUUUAAUACCUGUUUCCCAUGCUGGCAUGGGUUAGAUCAUUUAACUGGAACUGGUAAGGCCAGGGGUCGCACUAGGUUCCAUAGUCUGUUUUGGCUUGGUUUCCACUGCUGGAUGCUCUGCCUAAUGCUAACCACUUUACAGAGUAUACUGGGUGCUUUUUAUAUAGCACUGGUAUGAAUUCUGUUGUGGUGGACAGGUGUUCUUGAGUACAACAAGGCACCAAAUAUUUCAGUGCCUUGAGAUCAGCCUUCAACGCUUCAUCCCAUGUUUUCCUGGUUCUUCCUCUUCCAUAAGUUCCACCUACUUUAAGUGAAUUAGCACUUCUUUAUGCGACUGUCCUCAACCAUCUGCAUGACAUAACCAAAACCAGCAGACUGGUACAGGUUGUAGUAUGAAUUGAAAUUACAAUUACAUUUUCAAUUUCUUUCAGUCGCAUAGAGCCUCCGUGGGUACACAACUGCUGUGGGGAGUGGGAGCAGAGAAGAGAGAAGUUUUUUUCAUUAUUAUUAAGGCAACAAUUAGUUUCCAAUAAUGCAGGAGUAGCUACAGAGACCAUGUUAAAUUAUCAUCAGCAUUACAAUGUUAAAUUAUCAUCAGCAUUACAAUGUUGACACUUAUAUGUAUAUAAACACACAUGCAUACAUAUAGGUGCAUAUAUGAACAAAUGAACAAUUCAUUACUCAUAGAAGCACUCAUGUGUGGCCCACGGGCUAGAUAUACGUACACAUGUACCCAUAUAACUAUGCACUCGUAAAACAAUCCACAGGUUGUAAUAUUGUCAAGUACAAUACCUAUAUAUAUAUAUAUAUAUAUAUAUAUAUAUAUAUAUAUAUAUAUAUAGAUAGAUAUAUGUGUAUAGCAUUGAUAAUUAGGAGAAUGAACAAUUUGAACAUUCAAAUUUUAUGUUUAUUUUCAAAUGGCUUAUUCAUAAUAAUUGUCCAACACAUGUUUUGAUUGUACUAAUUGCAUAUUGUUGCAUAUUUAUAUGCAGCGAUUUAUGCAUUAUUGAGAAAAAUAGCUCAUCGAUGAAAGGUCAUACUAAUAAUGGAGAAAAAUUCCUCUUUAAACAAUGUCAUAUUUAUAUACCCUGAAGAGAUCAUACUAAUAAUGCAUAAAUCACGGCAUAUAAAUAUGCAACAAUAUGCAAUUAAUGCGAUUGAAACAUGUGUUGGACAAUUAUUAUGAAUAAAGCAUCUGGAAAUAAACUUAAUGUUUGAAUGUUCAAAUUUUUCAUUCUCCUUAUUAUUAAUACUGUACCUUACACACCAAGUAACCAAGAAAUAAACUGUAACUACAGAUGAGAGUUAAAAAGAAGUUACCAUAUAAUGCACCAUCUAAAGGAACCAUCCAUGGCAUUUUACAUAGAGAAAUUACAUAUAUAUAUAUAUAUUAUACAUACAUAAAAACAUUGAUUAGAGAACUAACAUCAAAUUUGGGUCAACGACUUUAUAUAACACCACGCUUCCAUAAUUUUCAUCGUCUAUAAACAUUACCAUGGCCUUUGACAUAUAAAAGAAUACUUACAUAAAAGCACAGAGGGUAAAAAAUACAUAUGCACAUAAAAAUACAAAAUGUAUAGAAAGGCCAAUCAAGAAAAGGUAUAUAUAAAUCAACUAAAAUAGGUAAUCAAAAUGAAUUACUAAAACGUGUCAAGCAACUAAAAAAAUAUCAAUGGACUUUAAAAAAAAAGUUGCAAUGAGACAAUCUUCUUCGUGAAGCUUUGCUGAAUUGCUGCAAGGUCCACUGUGGGAUGACCGUAGUUGGGAGCAGUAGUCCAGGCGGCUGAGGAUGAAUGUCCUCCAGAUGACCAUCAUGGUUUCUUUCUCUUUGGUUCUGAAGGUUCUCAGGAUCCAGCCAGCCAAUUGUCUGUACUUUGUCUCCAUCUUGGUUAUGUGCACUUGGAAAGAGGUGUCAUCAUUCAUGUCAAUAGCCAGGUUCUGGGAUUGUAAUCCCCUGUGGGUCAGUGUACCCUGUAAGUUUUAUGUUCAGUCUUGGGCGCUGAUAACACAGGGAUUGGAAUUUUCCAGUAUUAAACUGCAUAUUAUUGUCCUAGCCCAUCUGUAAACUGAGUCCAACUCCUGCUGCAGGUGUGCAACAUCACUAGGGUUUUGUAUUUUCUGUGAGACUUUCGUAUCGUCUGCAUAGCUAGGCAGCUGAGGGCAUAUCUGAGAGAGCCACUAUGAAAAGCAGUGGUCCCAAGCCAGUGUCCUGUGGAACAUCACUCUCUAUUUCUGUUUUCUUUGAGGUGGCUCCAUUGGCCACCACUGCCUGGCUUCUAUCUUUCAGAAAGUCAUGUAACCACUUUCCAAGUUUUCCAGCUAUGCUGAGAUCAUGUAGUUUGUGGUAUAUCAUACCAUGAUCCACUUUAUCAAAAGCUUUUGCAAAGUCAGGGUAUAUUACGUCCACAUUUGAGUUGGUGAGUAACUGCCUCAACUCCCGGUCAUAGUGUUGUAGGAGCUGAGUCAGGCAGCGCUUACCUGGUCAAAAACCAUGCUGGGUUUCACUCAGCAAGUCAUUUUCUUCAAGGAAUGCGAUUAGUUUCCCUCAGACUAUUCAUACUAUGACUUUGCUGAUGUGUGAAGUCAGAUAUAUAUAUAUAUAUAUAUAUAUAUACAUAUUCAGAUGAAUAUGGUACUUAAGUUGCAGCACCAGAAUUUAGUACAGUAAUAUCCAUACAAUUUCAAAGUAAGGUGAUUAAAAUCAAAAUAAGCAACAAGAAUAUCCAAAGGUAAUGCAGUACGAUCGUUUCAUGCAACUCCAUUUGAUUGAACAAUGCAAUCAUUACAUUAAUUUAAACACAGAGCAAUCCUCAGCUGCAGAAGACAUAGAAUUUAAUAAAAUUAGAACAGAUGGACACAUUAGUAGAAUUAUACCUAAAAUUUCCAAGAAGUUAAGGUGAUAAACAAAGAACAUGCUCUCUCACUCCAGUUUAGAAGUUAUUAAGUUACUGAGUAACUUUUAAACUGAAGUGAGGCAGCAUGUUCUUUGUCUUAACUUCUUGGAGAUUUUAGGCAUAAUUAUACUAAUGUGUCCAUCUGUUCUAAUUUUAUUAAAUUCUAUGUUUUUGUGCAGCUGAAGAUUGCUCUGCAUUUUAAAUUGAUGUAAUGGUUGCAUUGUUCAAUCAAAUGGAGUUGCAUGAAACGACCAUACUGCAUUACCUCUGGAUAUCCUUGUUGCUUAUUUUGAUUAUAUAUAUAUAUAUAUAUAUAUAUAUAUAUAUAGCAGGAAAGUAAGAAGAAAAAAUAAGUGAACAUGAUCAUGUUUGAUACAGUUUACUAUCGACAAAAAUGUAGAAUUGCAAUGGGAACCCGAGCUGCUCCAGUGAUUAUGAACCUUGUAAUGGGUUACCUAGAACUUAAAAUAUACCAAUCAUCACUACAAAAAUAUGGCACCUCAUUUCAUUGCUAUUUAAAGAAGAACUGGAAGAGGUAUUUGGACGAUUGCUUUAUACUUUGGAAAGAUAGCAUGGACAAACUCCUUGACUUCAAAAUAAUGCUUAACAAUAUUAAUAGCAACAUACAAUUCACCAUGGAGCACAGCAGUAAACAACUCCCUUUUCUUGACACCCUAACUAAAAUAGUCAAUAAACACAUUGAAACAGACAUCUUCUAUAAACCCACAGAUUCUAAACAAUACCUAUUAUUUUACUCAUGCCACCCCAAACACAUAAAAAUUAAUAUACCUUAUAAUCUAGCGAAAAGGAUCUGUACCAUAGUUUCAGACACCUAUACUUGUGAAUGAAGACUCCUUGAACUCAGAUCAAUACUAAUCAAAAGACAUUACCCAAUAUCAUUAAUAAAUGAUGGCAUUAAAUGAGCUAAGGAAAUAGAUAUACGAACAUUAAGGGAAGUCAACCGAAAUACUAAACCAGACUUAAAAAUACUCUCAUACAUCUCCACAUAUAACCCUAGACACAACGAAGCCUUCAACAUUAUCAUCCAAAAUCUACCCAUCCUCACGGGAGAUAAAUCAAUGAACAAAAUUUUAGGCUCUCACAAAAUUAUCAAAAGCAAAAUGCAACCCAAAUCAUUGAAAAAUAUAUUAACCAGCGCAAGACUUUAUCUAUUAACAACGGAACCAAAAGUGAAAAAAUGUGGUUGGCCUAACUGUGGUACAUGCUCCCACCUUUUGGAGGGUUCAGAGUUCCACUUUAAACAAGGUGAAAUAUUUAAGAUUAAAUCAAAUUUCACCUGUGCCUUGGAAAAUCUAAUCUAUGCCAUUACCUGCUUAGGGUGUGAAUGAAAAUUUGAGAAUGUAUUGGUAAUAUUUCUGGAUAGAUGGUGGAGGGGGGGUGUAUGUUUAGAAUGAGGAGAUCGGUCAAAAUGAUGGAAAGUGGAUGUUAAACAAUGAUGAUGAUGAUGAUAUAUGUGUAUACAUACACACACAUAUAUAUGUAGAAUCGUACCCCUUUAAAUGCGUAUGUGUUUCUAUUGUUCUUUGCCUCACUAUUGCCCUUUGCUGCUAUUUCAAUUUUCUUGUGGUGAAUCUACCCAUUUCUUCCAGUUCUUGUUCACAAUCCACUCACCCCUUACAACCCCCACCACCAAUACCAGAAACCCCUUCUCCUCGUAUACUGGUAAUCUCUUCUCUUAUACUGAAAACUCCCACAGGGCUCUGCCUCACUUCUGCACCAGAAGACCUACAUACCUCUGUCCCUCCCUCUUUUCCAAGCCAUCUUCCUCCUCCUGCCUCUCACCUCUCUCUCUCUCUCUCUCUCUCUCUCUCUCUUUGUGUGUGUAUAUAUAUAUAUAUAUAUAUAUAUAAUGGACUACCUAACCAAAUAGCAGCCCAUUUACUUACUUAAUCUAACAUUUACCAUAUUUAUAUUUAUGUUUGCAGCUUCAGUAAUGCUUAUAUUUACAAUGCUUACCUUGCUCUCACCACCAGAAGCGGGUAACAAUUUUAACACAUUUGAAUGGUGAUAAGUUAGAAGCCAGGUCAACUGUUGUGACAUGCCUGCUAUCAAACUAUCACGGAAACCUCCUCUUCAGGUGCUGAAUAAUAUAUCUCUGUCCCAUGUUCCCUCCAACAUCCCUUUCCCAGUUUUCAGAGUUGACACUGUCAAUGUGGGCACAUUGAAAUGUAGAUCUAACAAGAUUGUAGAGAUGCUUGAACGGAUAUGUGAUGAUAUAAGUUGCAUCCAAGAGGUUAGGUGAAGAGGAACUUCAGCCAGGUUCCUCACAGGCAAGACACAUAGGUAUAAAAUCUUCUGGGAGGGUAACGGCGAUGGAGUAGGUGGUGUGGGCAUACUUCUUGUUGAGAAAUGGGUGGAUACGGUCAUGAAGGUAGUCAGAGUAUGCAAUAAAGUACUUAAGCUCAGGCUAGUCUUGUAGAAUAGCAUCAAUUAUCUCUGCCCCACAAGCAGGCCUACCAAAUGAACAAAAGGACCACUUUUAUGAUUCUUUUCUGCAGGCUACCUCAAAGACGUGUGAAAACAAUCUCAUCUUUGUGGCUGAGGAUUUCAAUGGGCAUGCUAGACAGCAGCCUAGUAUCUUCCACAGUGUUCGUGGAGGCCAUGGAAUUGGUUCUUGAAACGAAGAGGGAACAAGGCUACUGGAGUUCUGUGAUGCAAGUAACCUUUCGAUCUGCAACACCAACUUCAGAAAGCCAGCCAGCCACCUGAUAACCUAUCAAUCAGGUGGCUCUGCUAGCCAGAUUGAUUUCAUUAUUACAUUAUAUUUUUAAGGAUUUAUAUCAUUUGGAAGUAGAUGCACUGGGUGUGUGACAGUAAUUAUUGUCUAUGUUUGUAGUUCUGAAUAAUGUCCAUUUGAAACGCCCACUGCUUUGUGAUGAGGUGGAGGAACAUAUAUAAAGAGUUUAGGGUUGUUAUAUCGCAUGAAGUGCACCAUAUGAUAUGAAAGAAUAGCAGGAAGCAAGCUGUUGGCAAUUUGUUUAUUCCAUUUCCAUUACAAUGGCUUUAGCAGCUGAUAAUCAAGUUUAAUAAAUAAUUAUAAAUUGUAAUCAAUUGGAUAGAUCAUAGAUCACAUCUUCAGAUGGGACAUUGAAAUAUGAAGAAUCGAACCAUGUGAUGCAUCUAAAUACUAGAGAAAUGAGUCAGCCAAUGGCAGUGAAGAGGAAGAAAGGAGAUUUUGGGUGGGUAGCAACAGUGCCCUGUGUGUGUGUGUGUGUGUAAUUAAUGACAAAUAAUAUAAAGAAGGAAACCUUUGUCUGUGUAGGUAAGGGAUUAGAGUCAUCACAAAGAAUAAUGUGACCUGGAAGAAGAGACAAGAAACAAAACAAAAUGGAGCAAAAAAAAAAGAAAAAAACAAACAAAUACAGCUACAACAGUGCAGGAAGAAUAUAAUAUGUGUGUGUGUGUGUAUGGAUAAAGUGAGAGAGAGAGAGAGAGAGAGAGAGAGAAAGGUAAAUAGAUACAUUAAGAGUAAGGAACAGAAGAAAAGUAUUCCAUACUGGCAACAGAGUAGAAGUGGUUUAAUGGAGUUAAUCAAAAUCAAACAAAGCUGAAAACUAUCAAUUUGAUCAGAUUUAAUGUUUGGUCUGAUGAAAUUGUAAGUUUUAAGCCAGUUGUAUUUUUUGUCUCACAAAAUUAAAUUGUGUGUGUGUGUGUGUGUGUGUGUGUGUGUGUGUGUGUGUGUGUGUGUGUGUAUGUGUGUGUGUGUGUGUGUGUGUGUGUGUGUGUGUGUGUGUGUGUGUGUGCUUUAUGCAUAUGUUAUCAUUCAUUCUGUAUCUGUUUUUUCUUUUAUUCAGAAUUAUUGUCCUCCAAGAGAAGUCAGGGACCACUUCAUGCCUGUCCAAUACAGUUUUUAUUGCCUAACACCAUUCUGGGUGGGUUGUAUUAUGACCCCGCCACUAGAGAGGUUGUCUGGUUCCCAGCAAGACAAAAGAAUCCUAUUUUAUAUUCCUCACAGCUGUUUGUUUGUUCUUUUCUUUCUUUAUCUGACUGGAAUGGAAGAGGAGAGCCAGAAUGAGAGGGUGACGGAAGAAAGGUUAUUAGAAGAGAACUCAAGUGAUAGAGGGAUACACAUACAUGCACACAUAUGUACACUCAUGCACUCACAUACACACACAUAUUCAUGCAUGGACACACAUACAUGAACACACAUACAUGCAUGCACACAUGCAUUCACACACACUCAUACACCAGUUCAGAACAACCUUGUCACUCGUUUAUCUCUUGUUCGGAUUAUAACCAGUUGUUAGACUGGAUUGCUUUGCACUUGAGUCUGACCUAGCGAUUACCUGAGGGAAACAUGUGUUUUUGUCUCUUUGUUUACAAACAGGAAUCCCUUUAUUGACAUUGAGAGCAUGUCGGGAGGUAGCAGGAGACAGGGUGCAGUAAUGUUUUCACAAGUUGAUUGACAUCCAACUAAUUGGAUGAAAACAAGCUUAAUUCUUUCUUCAAAAACAGAAAAAUGUGAUAGGAUUUCUGUAUUGAUUUUUGUUGCAGUUUUGAAGGAAUAUAAUUAGUAAUUACUAACUCUAAUCCCUGCUGAUACCUGAAAGUAAAGCACAUGAUUAAUAGUAAAGCACCUUAUUAAAUAACUAUUACAGUUUAACUGAGUCAGCAAUGAACAGUUUAUAUGGCAAUAUACAAGGUUUCCUUUUCUAAGUUGGUAAGGUGUGAUUUAAUGUAGAUUUGACUGCUAUUUCUUGCAAAUCAAGAGACCUUAUAAUGUUUCCCUCAUUGACUUGUCCCCUAUGUGGUCUCUUGAUCUGCUAAAAAUAACAGCCCAAUCUCCCUUAAGUCACACCCAGCUGUCCUAAAUAAAGUGCAUAUUGAUUAAUGUAAUCCUAAAUACCUCUAAAAAGGCACGCUUACCAUCACUGGAACAUCUUUGAUUUGCUUGAUGAGGGUUAACCUGGGGCUAAACAACAACAGAAUUUAGUGAAAUGUUAUUGUUGUUGUCCACAGAGAAAUGGUGGUGUUUAGGGCCAUGCUAUUUCAUUGUCCCUUUCACAUAGCUAAUUCUAAGAGAGAAAGAUGAAUUAACAACUACUUUAUUUUAUCAACCCUGAACACAAGACAAAGUUGGCCUCAUCCUGAUAAUUUAUAACUUCUUUGUUUAAAUUAAAGGUUCAUCAUUGGAGGUGCCAUUAAUUUAGAGUGUUGAAACCUAUCAUAUAACUUUGUAUUCUAUCUCCAUUUUCUAAAAGACAUUUGUAGUAGGUUAAGAGUUAGAACAAUAAUAAUGAUGAUGAUGGUAAUAUAAUAGUAAUGAGAGUAGUGAGGGAUCAACUGCAGCACAUGCUGCUGUGCUGCUUGGGGUCUCCCAAUGUUUGUGCAACCAAUAUUGUUGUCAGGAAAGAAAUGAAGUAUAAAAAAGCUGUUAAGAUGGCAGAGAGACCAUUCUGGAAAUGAAAGAUUUGGAAAGUGUAAUGCUGAACACACAGAGAUUGCAAUGGUCAUAGAACAAAUAAUUGUCCCAUCAGAAUAAAAAAGAGAAGUGAGAUAUAGUAACCAAAGAGGAAAAGGAAGAUCAUACAACUGGUGAAGUAGGCUUAGUAAGGCUGGUUGUAGGGUUAGUGAGUUAUUUAGCUAUAAAGAAACUAUGAUAGAGCUCGUUGUGGAAAAUGGAGCCAAGAUGUUGUGAUUGUUUCUGAGAAUGAUGUAUAUCCUUUCAUUGUUGGCUGUCUUAGGUAAAGACCUAAUCCACACAACAUACUUUUCUGAAAUUGUCUCAAUAGGAAGAUAGCAUUGGUGGUACCUUUUCCUGGCACAAACUGAAUCUAACCUAAUCUAAUUCUGUUCCUAAUCAAUUGUGCUCAUCCUUUGACUUCCAUCACCUUAAUUAAUACCUCUGAACUUAGCUUUUCUUGUAGAUCUUCUUUGCUCUUUAACUAAUAAUACUGUCACACAAUUCUUUGGGUUUGGUUCUUCUGUGUGAUUCCUUGUGUGAAUGACUAACACACGUCCAAAUGUGACAGAUAUUCUAAUCAUUUCAGUGUUGAGUCCACUUCACUUAAUUUCUUUCAUGAAUUCUUUUCUUUCAGUAACUUCCCCAAAUAGCACAUCCAUUCUGCCUCUUUUUUCAGUGUCAAAGGGCAAUUGUACUGUUAUUCUGUAACCCCGCUCCUGCUCUCCACCACACUAACUUGUUUGUUUUAUCUGAUACACCAGAUUUGCUACCUGAAACAUUUCAUACCUCUGAUCUUCAGAUUGUUGAACACACAUACAGAUCUCUAACUUUUUGCUUCUACUUUUGCUAAGUAUAUCUGAUCAUAUUUGUUUGAUAUUGUUCUUCUCUGCCACCUUUUUUCUCCUCUUUCUGAACCUGUGACUUAGUUUUUGUGGCUCCAUCUACAGCCAUAAUUCUGUCACCUUCUGUUACCUCAGUCAUAAAUAUGGUCUGUAGCUCUCAGCAGAUUGUCCUGUAGAAAAUUGUUGUUUGCUGUUAUGUUAUAAGCCUCUUUCUCCUCCUGCUUCUGUCCUAAUCAUUUGCUAGAAUUUCUCUGAACCUGCAGCUGGUUCUUAGCUCUUUCGGCUUAAUGUCUUCCUUCUCUAGAUUGCCUUGUGUCCAUUUAGCUCUUGCUCUAAACUCACUUAUCACAACUAUUUGUUCAUCAAGGAUAAACUGAGCAUUCACAUACAUUUACAUUUCCUGAUCAGUAUAGAAACUUGUUAGAAGACGACCAGAUAGCUUUGGUUAGUCUCAUAAAAUAUCUUUAUUUAUUUUCCUCCGAGUCUGAAUUAGAUGUGGUUUUUACAGAAAUGUGUGUUCCAUUGUCAGAAAUGUAAUAUUGAUGUUCACAAUUGCUGUAUAUGUUUUGUAGAGGAUUAGACACAUGUGAAUUAGCAUAAAGUACAUUGUCUGAUUACACAAGUGUAAUAGCUCAAUUGGCAGUUAAUUAUAAUGAAUACUUAUCAAUUCAAUGACAGUAGUAAAUACAUACAUGCUUACAUAUAUAAAUAUGUAUAUAUAUAUAUAUAUAUAUAUAUAUAUAUAUAUAUAUAUACACACACACACAUAUACAUAAAUAUACAUGCAUGCAUACAUACACACAUAUAUACAUUUAUAUGUAUGUGUGUAUGUAUAUAUAUAUACAGAUCGCCAUGUUGAUUCGUUAGCUACUGCACGCAUUUUUUUUCUCUCCUUCUUUCUGUGUUUUUCUCUCUCUGUGUAUCUUUCUGUUGAAGAGCGUAGGCUCGAAACGUUAAAGAAUUGUUUUAUUUAUAUUUCCUGAGCGCCAUACUAAUACAAUUGUUCGUUUGUUUUCCACCUGCCUUCGUCUUUUGUUUAUUUUCAUAAAGCUUCCCGUUAUAUAUAUAUAUAUAUAUAUAUAUAUAUAAACUCCUUUACAAUGGCCAAAAUAUUCAUUGUCUUGAACCUAACUGGUCUUACUCCUUCACCACCGAAAAAUACAUCAGUUCUGAAUAAUUACUGAUUGACCCAGCUACAAGGACAUGUAUACUCUAUACUGGAGUACCAAUGACAUAAUUGAAAUAGUAUUCACACACACACAUCUAGCUGAUAAGUAAAUGUUCACACUAUAACCACCUUUAGCUCACCAAUAAUCUCUCCUUCCCCACCUCCUCUCUCUCUCUCUCUCUCUCUCUCUCUCUCACACACACACACACACACAUACACACUAUAGGUCCUAUCUCUCUCUUGCAGGCUGGGUGGAGUUUUCAAGGAAUAUAAAUCUUGCCUCUGUCUUCCUAGGACUAAACAAUGAACGAAAGUGUGGAUGAGUCAUAUUGAUGAUGGAAAGUAAGCUUAGAGAUUCCUUGAGGAUGAACUGGAAACAAAUGUCUGGACUAAGUCUGAGAAUUCUUUAGGACAGCUCUGUAAGUUGAGUCCAAGUGUGAGGAGAAGAGAAAGAAAAUGAAGUUAUCAUUUGGAUCGUAGAUAUUCAUCGAUGGAUCAUAGAAUUCCACUCUCUAGAGCAAGAGUAAAGUGCCAAAUAUUAGACUCUAAAUUCCUUUCAAUGAUUAAAUUUAUCAAACUGCCAUUCUGUUGACUAAUUGUUGCUGAAACAGAGCAUCACCGGGCUCCUCAGCUUCUGGAUGUUAUCCGAAUUAUGGAAACAUUCAGUUUCACAGAGGAGGCAACACGGAAGUUAUGGAGAAGAUACUUCAAAUUAAUCUCUAUAUAUAUAAAGUUGAAGUUGUCUGUGUAUGGCAUGUUUGGUAGCCUUCAACUAACACUAUCUUCUCCGAGACCCUGCAGCGCAAGGUGACCAACAUUGAGAGUAUGAUAGAAGAAGGCUUGCUCUUCCUUCCGUAGAAGAAAAAAUUCAAAUCAGACCAUGUUAAGACCAAAAAUUAUUUUCAUCAAAAAGGUGCUAUUUUUCUAUGAAAAUCCCUGUUUUUUACGAUUUUUUGACUGCUGUGUCGCCAUUUUUCGGUGUAUUUCAACCAGAAAAAUGUUCACUUAAAGAGAAUAACAAGCUACAUAAUGCAAAAUUUUUACUUUUCAAAAAUUCCAAUUCUAAAGGGUCGAAACAAACCCGAGCAAUGCCGGGCGAUACUGCUAGUACAUUUUAAACACAAACAUGACUACUUUUGGCUGCUUGUAUCAGCCAGAAAUUUCUAUGGAGUACACUCCUUACAGAAUAAUUAAAAUUCAAGAAAACAUAGUGCAAGAGACAGGAAAGAUGCUUUCGUCCUCAUCCUUUGACUAACCUAUGGUUGGUCGGAACUCCGUUGACAAUCCCUUUCCACACCACAUGGUCCUACAUUGCUGUGUUCAGAUCUCUAAUAUCUUGCCCCAAGUCCUGAGAUAUCGUAUCUGGAAAUGUCAGUUUCCUGGAGAAAACACUUCCGGAUGGAUGCCAUAGGAGCAGGGAUGAGAUAACCUCUUUCUCCAUUCUCGUAAAAGAACUAAGAAAAUUAAUACAGCAACCUGCCUAAAGAAAUCUAGCUUCUCGUGCCGUCUUGAACUUGCAUAAAUGUACAAAAUACUGAAUGGUUGUUGACUGUCUUGAGUUUAUCCACCUUUUGGAAGAUUUCUUUCCUUCAUCCAGCAAGGUCAUCCCCAAAAUCACCCUCCUCACCAAGUAGGGUCAGUGAAGUUCCUGGCUUAGUCACUAACAAUUAAACAAUGCAACAGGUUGUAAUGGGUUGUGCAUAUUUGAUGUCUUGCAUACAAGUCCUAGGGUUAAUGGCUGUUGUACAAAUAACUCUGCCCUCACAGGUCAUGUCACUGAGUUCUGGUUCCUUUAACAAAAUAGGGGACUAAGAGUGUGACCAUUGUACUAAUGACUUUCAGAUUUCUCAAUGUACUAAAUGUUUUUUUACCUGGAUUGGGAAUAAACCAAUUGGGGAACCUCUAUGUGGUUACUACACUUACUAGAAAUAGCAGCCAAAACUUCUUCAAAACAUCAUACACUCUUAAAAAGGGAAAGACUCAUCAUUCUAUUUUACUUCUUUAUUUUAUUAGUCAAUUAGUUAACUAAUUAACCAAUUAACUAAUCAAUUGUUUGAUUAAUCUAUCUUUAUUUUAUGGAUAGUACCUAAAAUAAAUAUACUCACCAUAAAAAGGCACAAAGAUGAAAACAAGGUCUGAUUGUUUAGCCCCAGGUUUGCUCUGAUUCAGCAGACCUGUGAUCAAACUCAUUCCAUGCAGGACCAUCCCAUCUUUAUAAAGACUAGUUUGAAAUACAUUAUUGAAAGUGUAACAUGUUUAGAUGUUUAGCUGGUGACUAAAAACAAGAUGAAAUUAAUUAUAAGAAUUAUUUGCCUUUCACAACAUCACCCUAUAUUUCUCCAAAUUUCUGACAUUGGACUGUUUCACUUAUUUUGCUUUGUUCAUCUUUUUUAAUUAUGUAAAUUAUAGAUUUGGUGCAUCUGUUGGCUGGUGGUGCAGUCACCAUUUCUAUGUUGUUGCUCAUAUUAGAAAUAGCAGCUAACAUGCCCUUCAUAUAAAUAUCCUGACAUAGGCGCAGAAGUGGCUGUGUUAAGUAGCUUGCUUACCAACUACAUGGUUCUGGGUUCAGUCCCACUGCAUGGCAACUUGGGCAAGUGUCUUCUAUUAUAGCCUUGAGCCAACCAAAGCCUUGUGGGUGGAUUUGGUAGAUGGAAACUGAAAGAAGCCUUUUAUAUACAUAUAUGUGUGUGUAUGUGUAUUUGUGUGUUCGUGUGUCUGUGUUUGUCCCCCACCAUUGCUUGACAACCAAUGCUUGUGUGCUUACGUCCCUGUAACUUAGCGGUUUGGUAAAAGAGAAUGAUAGAAUAAGUGCUAGGCUUACAAAGAAUAGGUCUUGGGAUCGAUUUGUUCAACUAAAGGUGGUGCUGUAGCAUGGUUGCAGUCAAAUGACUGAAACGUGUAAAAGAAAAAAAAGAAACUUAUGAAGUGAAGGAUGCAUUGAUAAUCAUGUUCCUGAUUCACAUAGUCAAUGAAAUGAUCAUGGCUGGAUUGCCUUUGAUCAUAAGUCUGCUUGGUCAAGGCUGACUCGGGAUUAAAAAUUAUUUGUAACUCCUUUUGUUUCCAUGAAAAUCUUUGUCAACUGAUCAGGUACGCUGGAGUAGUCUAUACUGAUGAGAUCUAAUAAACCAAAACAUGUACAUAGUUGUCUCCCUUGCAUACAAACCAAAAUCAGGCUUUCCUUUCCCUAAACAUGUAAGUUAACCUUGACAUACUAAUUCUUAAUUAUCUCUCCCAUUCCUUUCUUAGUUGUUAGCAAAUGCUACCAUUUUUUUUGCUUUCUUUCUCCAUUUACAAAUUAAAUUUCAAUUAAUUUAAAUUUAUUUUCAUACAACAUUUAUACAACAUUGCUUUAUAUUUUCAACUCUUCCAAAAACUUCAUUAACCCACUCACUCACAUGUCCGUGCUAUGUUAAUAACUUGGCCAUCCUUGUUUAAGUGAAUGCCCUCACUGGUAGUCACUUCAUUGUACAGUGAACCCUCUGAAAUAAUUGUUAUAGAUUAAUUAAAACAAGUAAUAUAUUAAGUUGACAUAAUUGCAACAAUAGUUUAAUGACUUUUAGUUAACGAAGAUGAAAUGGUUGCAUUUCAUAUAUUGACACUGCUUAUGACAUUUUUUAUGUAAAAAUUAACAGAGCAAUAAACUGGUCACUAAUGCUAAUUAAACAUUUAAUUAUUCCUCAGCUUGUGAUUAUCCAAAUGGAUAAACCAUUAUUUAAAUGAACCAGAGUAGUUCCAGUUGGUAGGACUUCUAUCAAAUCCAUUUUUUUACAAUCUCAGUCCUUUUCUGCUCCUCUUGCACUUCCGCCAUUGACCAAUUUUUGAGAUCUGCUUCUAUUGUCUCUGUCCUCAGCUCAGCAAUUUCUAUUUGGUAGAUUCUUAUUCAUCUACAACUUCAUCUCCUGCACUCUUUCACUGAAUUCUUAUAGAAUUCAGUAAUCUAUGUGACCUUUUGACCUUGUCAUAAUGUAGAAAUCUGUAGACUCAACAAAAUUACCAAAUUUAUUUGAGGAUGACUGAGGUGAUUGUCAAAACAGUGACAAAACAGCAACUAUUACUUAUGUGUGUAUAUAUAUAUAUAUAUAUAUAUAUAUAUAUAUAUAUAUGUGUGUGUAUAUAUCAUUAUCAUCAUCAUCAUCAUUUUCUUCUUGUUCGUGUAACAUUUACGCUCCAUACUGCUAUGGUCACACUGUUUGACAAACUGAUGAAUCAGAGGAUUGUGCUGUGCUCCAAUGUUUUGGCAUGGUUGCUAUGGCUGCUACCAGCAACUUUACAGAGUGUGCUGGGUGCUUUUUUUCCAUGGCACCAGCACUUGUCAGGUCACUUUGCAACUUGCAAAACUAAAAUCCUGAAAGAGGCCCCUAUAACUGUAGAGUAAUCUUGUGGAGGAACAAGGAAAAGGGAUGGGAUGGGUGGGAUUAAAGUCAGUGGUUAGUGAGAAAAGAAGGGAUGAAAUGGUAAGGGCUGUGAGGUAUGUGGUAUAGAGAUGCUCAAGAGUUCUGACACAUUAUAAGAACAAGUUCAGCAUCUUUGUGUUGCUAGAAUGCCAGGAUCUGUGGUUUUCAUCCAGGACAAAUCCGUAGGCGCAGGAGUGGCUGUGUGGUAAGUAGCUUGUUUACCAACCACAUGGUUCCGGGUUCAGUCCCACUGCGUGACACCUUGGGCAAGUGUCUUCUACUAUAGCCUCGGGCCGACCAAAGCCCUGUGAGUGGAUUUGGUAGACGGAAACUGAAAGAAGCCCGUCGUAUAUAUGUAUAUAUAUAUGAGUGUAUGUGUGUCUGUGUUUGUCCCCCUAGCAUUGCUUGACAACCGAUGCUGGUGUGUUUAUGUCCCCGUUACUUAGCAGUUCGGCAAAAGAGACCGAUAGAAUAAGUACUGGGCUUACAAAAGAAUAAGUCCCGGGAUCGAAUUGCUCGAUUAAAGGCGGUGCUCCAGCAUGGCCGCAGUCAAAUGACUGAAACAAGUAAAAGAGUAAAAAGAGUAAAGAGUAUAUAGCCUUAAAAAAACUCAAGAUACUUCAGAGCUGAGUGAUUUUACCCUACUUAUUAAACACAAUUGCAAAUCAGAAAAUAGUUCUUUUGUACCAUUUAUAUAUAUUUCAGGUUUGUAAUUUUGGUUCACUUCGGAGUUAAGGUUACAUAUCACAGCAGUGAUAAACAACAAACACUAUGAAAUCCUGAUAUCUGCUGCACUUGUCUUUACCUCCAGUGUGAUUUUGUUUCACCUAGCUCUGAAGUAUCCUGUGCUUUUUAACACUAUAUGUCUGUAAAGGAAUUUUUACUGGAUGACAAACUGCAGUUCCUGGCAUUCAAACAACAAACAUAAUUUAUGUAUAUGAUAUUAAUAAUGUUUACAUCAUUGAGGUGCUUCUGUUAUGUAAUUUGAAUACACACACAUGCAUGUGCACACACACACAGAUAGACAAACAGACAGAGCUCUAGCCUCAUCAUUCCAACACACAUUUAACUCUUGACAGCCAGGUCUACUGCAACACCAAGUAUCACCAAUCAGACCAAUCUUUUAUCAUCUUGGCUCCAAAUCAGCUUUUCCACUCCAUUCAUGUCUUCCACAGUUUUUCUCUUCUACAGAUCCCUCUAACUUGGAACACACAUCACUUCCUUCUGCCACUUUAGUUCCUUCCCCACCCCCAUAUACACCACAUGCUCACAUCAGUGCAAUCUUCUCUCUUGUACACUUACUGUUAAUUAUGUCACUUAGUUAAUGAAAGUUAACGACUACUCUUACUGAGCUUUUCUGCCAUUUAAAAGCAACUGUGGUGUGGCUGUAACACUUACUGCUCUAAUGCAUCAGUCACACAGACAGUCUGCUUUCUCUGCCGGUGAUUUCUCUACACUUAUUGUACAUCCAUAGUUUAUGCUAGGUGGCCUUCUACGUGGGAUGGAGCCAGCCUACGUAUGCACACCUUCCCUUCUUGGGACAUAAAACUCUACUUGUGAAGACCUGUUGAGGCAAGUGAGGAUCAGAAUCGAAAUCGAUCAAAUGGAAAUUGCAGAUGUGUUACCAGUGCCGGUGGCAUGUCGAAACUCUACUUGUGAAGACCUGUUAAGGCAAGUGAGGAUCAGAAUCGAAAUCGAUCAAUGGAAAUUGCAGAUGUGUUACCAGUGCCGGUGGCAUGUAAGAGAACCUUCCGUUUCGCGACCAUUGCCAGCGCCGCCCCGACUGGCCUCGUGCCAGUGGCACGUAAAAAGCACCAUCCGUUCGUGGCCGUUUGCCAGCUCUGUCUGGCACCUGUGCGGGUGGCACGUAAAAAGCACCCACUACACUCACAGAGUGGUUGGCAUUAGGAAGGGCAUCCAGCCGUAGAAACACUGCCAGAUUUGACUGGGCCUGAUGAAGCCUCCUGGCUUCACAGACCCCAGUAGAACCGUCCAACCCAUGCUAGCAUGGAAAACGGACGCUAAACGAUGAUGAUGAUGAUGAUGAUGAUAGCAUACACAGUUUAUAGUUUACUACUUUCCUGCAUGUGGUGGUGCAAUGGACCAGUGGUUAGGGCAGCGGACUCGCGGUCGGAGAAUCGUGGCUUCAAUUCCCAGACCGGGCGUUGUGUGUGUUUAUUGAGCAAAAACAUCUAAAAGCUCCAUGAGGCUCUGGCAGGGGGUGGUGGCGACCCCUGUUGUACUCUUUUGCUACAACUUUCUCUCACUCUCUCUUCCUGUUUCUUGAGUAACGCUGCAAUGGACUGGCGUCCCGUCCAGUUGUGGGGAACACAUACGCCACAGAAACCGGGAAACUGGGCCCAUGAGCCUGGCUAGGCUUCAAAAGGGUGACGUUUAUCAUUUUUCUUUCCUGCACAUUGAGCAAGAGCACUUUCUUGAUGGUACCAAGUCCUGUUUUCUGCCUACAAACACCAUAGUCUUAGACAAGUUUAUCUUGAUUCUUGGUUUUCCUUUCACCUCUGGAUUUAUACAAUUAAGAUUACUUUUAACAUAUUAAUUAUUAGCUAUUUAACCUUAACCUUUGAACUCAUAAGUCAUGGAGUCACGACUCAUGACAAAGCUGGUUGCUAUAACAAAUUCCUUUAAUUCCAAAAGGAGUGCAGUUUCUAACCUGGUUAGACAAUUUUUAUUUAAUGAAGGUGGUUAAGAUAACAGAGAUCAUUAUUAAUUAUUGUGUGUGUGUGUACCUUUGUCUAGACAUCACUUAAUGGUUGUAAAAUGUGCAUCAUUGUCAUACAAGUAAAGUUGUUCAUUCCUAGUCUUCAAAGAAAAACAUGUCUGACCAUGGGGGAAAUAUUAUCUUGCUUGGAAACAGGUGAUGGUCAGUGAUGAGAAAGACAUCCAGAUAUAGAAAUUUGCUGCAGCAAAUUCCAACUGACCCAUUAAAGCAUGGAAAAGUGGUCAAUAUUAUUAUUAUCAUCAUCAUUAUUAUUAUUAUUAUUAUUAUUAUUAUUAUUAUUAUUAUUAUUAUUAUUAUUAUUAGUAGUAGUAGUAGUAGUAGUAGUAGUAGUAAUAAGGUGGUGAACUGGCAGAAUCGUUAGCACGCUGCACGAAAUGCUUAGUGGUAUUUCAUCCAUCUUCAUGUUCUGAGUUCAAAUUCUACUGAGGUUGACUUUGCUUUUCAUCCUUCUGGGGUCAAUAAAAUAAGUACCAGUCUGUACUGGGAUUGAUGUAAUUGAUUAUCCUCCUCCCCCAAAUUUCAGGCUUGUGCCUAUAGUAGAGAGGAUUAUUAUUAUUAUUAUUAUUAUUAUUAUUAUUAUUAUUAUUAUUAUUAUUGGCAGUGAGCUGGCAGAAUUGUUAGCACACCGGGUGAAUUGUUUAGUGGUACUUCGUCUGUCGCUACAUUCUGAGUUCAGAUUCUGCCAAUGUUGAUUUUGCCUUUCAUCCUUUUGGGGGUCGAUAGAUUAAGUACCAGUGAUACACUGGGGUCAAUGCAAUUGACUCAUCUCUUCCCCCAAAAUGGCUGCCCUUGUGGCAAAAUUUGUAACCAUUAUUAUUAUUAUGAUGAUAAUGUAUCUAUAUGUUUGUAUGUAUGUUUGUGUGUAUAUAGUGCUGAUAGUUAAUUCCUUCCCAUGGGACCAUGCUAGUGUCUAAGAACUUAGAUACCACCUGUCUUUUGUUUUAACAACUAUGGCAGAAAUCUACUGAAUAUUGUUGUGUCCAAAUUUCUUGAUACCAGCCUGGAACCAUAUAGUGAAGGUAACUACAAGCACCCUGUGUGUGUGUGUGUGUGUGUGUGUGUUUAAUCUAGUAUUUUUGUGUGCUUGUUUCAUAAAAAAAUUGCAUGGAGACAGGUUUAUUUAGCCAGAGGGGAAGCAGAUAAGAAAAAAUUUGCCAAUGUUCUGUGCCGUGAGGACCAAAGACUUGAGGUAUUUCGUGUUGCAAGACAGUGUGUGAGAGAGAAUCGUGAUGUGGUAGGAGAGAAAUGUGUUCGCAUGGAUGAUGGUUCACUUGCGCUAAAUGAGGAUGCAAAGAGAGAGGUUUGGAGAUGCCACUAUGAAAGGUUGCUGAAUAAAGAAAAUGAAUGGAAUAAAGAGAGUCUGCCGAAUGUCGACCCAACAGAGGGACCAGCCAUCCGAGUUGACAGUUCUUUGGUAGUUAAGGCAAUUAGAAGCAUGAAGACAGGGAAAGCCCCAGGCCCAUCAGGAAUUACUGCAGAGAUGCAGUGUCGGCUAUGGCCUAGUCACCCGUAUAGUUAACCAGGUGAUACACGAAGGAGUCAUACCCGAUGACUGGUGUAGCAGCAUAAUAGUCAACUGCUGCAAAGGUAAAGGUGACGCCCUAGAUACAAGUAAUUACAGAGGUAUCAAGCUGUUGGAUCGGGUAAUGAAGGUUACGGAGGGGAUCAUAGCCCAACUGAUUAGGGAGAGAGUCAACUUGGAUGAGAUGCAGUUUGGUUUCGUGCCGGGGAAAAGCACCACUGAUGCCAUAUUUCUGGUGAGACAGCUGCAGGAAAAAUACCUAGCCAAAGAUAAACCUCUGUACCUGGCUUUCGUUGACAUGGAGAAAGCCUUUAACAGGGUCCCCUGAUCCCCUAUCUGGUGGUCAAUGGGGAAACUAGGGAUAGAUGAAUGGUUAGUGAGAGCUGUGCGAGCCAUGUACAGGGACGCUGUUAGUAAGGUGAGGGUUGGCAACGAGUACAGUGAAGAAUUCCAGGUAGAGGUUGGGGUCCACCAAGGUUCAGUCCUCAGCCCCCUUCUAUUUAUCAUAGUCCUCCAAGCAAUAAUGGAGGAAUUCAAGACAGUAUGCCCCUGGGAGCUCCUCUAUGCUGAUGACUUUGCCCUAAUUGCUGAGUUACUAUCAGAACAGGAGGAGAGGUUUCAGGUGUGGAAACAAGGAUUAGAAUCGAAGGGCCUUAGAAUCAACCUAGCCAAAACCAAUGUUCUAAUAAGUAGGAAGGUAGACAAAUCACAAACACCUUCAGGUAGAUGGCUCUGCUCGAUCUGUAGAAAAGGCAUAGGUAGAAACUCUAUAAGAUGCACCAAGUGUAAGCUAUGGACACAUAAGUGGUGCAGCAAUGUCAAAGGAAGGCUAACUAGGAAGAUAGUUUUUGUAUGUGGCAGAUGCUCAGGAGCAAUAAACACUGAAAAUGCUCUGAGACCAUCUUCCGCCACAUUCCAGGGAGAAAAACUAGAAAUAGUUGAUAGCUUCCGUUACCUAGGUGACCAGUAGUGAGGGCAGGUGUGCUGAAAGUGUAACUGCCAUAGUAAGAAUAGCCUGGGCAAAGUUCAGAGAGCUCUUACCUCUGCUGGUGACAAAAGGCCUCUCGCUCAGAGUAAAAGGCAGAUUGUAUGACGCAUGUGUACGAACAGCUAUGCUACAUGGCAGUGAAACAUGGGCCGUGACUGCUGAGGGUAUGCGUAAGCUCGCAAGAAAUGAAACCAGUAUGCUCUGCUGGAUGUGUAAUGUCAGUGUUCAUACUCGACAGAGUGUAAGUACUUUGAGAGAAAAGUUGGACCUAAGAAGCAUCAGUUGCGGUGUGCAAGAGAGACGUUUGCGCUGGUAUGGUCAUGUGGCGAGAAUGGAUGAAGAUAGUUGUGUGAAAAAGUGCCACACCCUAGCGGUUGAGGGAACCUGUGGAAGAGGUAGACCUAGGAAAACCUGGGAUGAGGUGGUGAAGCAUGACCUUCGAACUUUAGGUCUCACCGAGGAAAUGACCAGAGACCGAGACCUUUGGAAGUAUGCUGUGCCUGAGAAGACCCGGCAGGACAAGUGAGGCCAUAAUCCCGUGACCUCUACCUGGGAUGUAGCCAGCCCACUUAUGCAUUCCUUUCCUUCUUGGGACACAAAGUUCCACUUGUGAAGACCUGUUGAGGCAAGUGAAAAUCGAAAUCAAUCAACAUCAAUGUAGCUGUGAUACCAGUGCCGGUGGCACAUAAGAGAACCAUCCGAACGUGGCCGUAGCCAGCGCCGCCCUGACUGACCUCCAUGCCGGUGGCACGUAAAAGGCACCAUCCGAUUCGUGACCAUUGCCAGCUUCGUCUGGUCUCUGUGCCAGUGGGACGUAAAAAGCACCAUCCGAUUCGUGGCCGUUGCCAGCUUCGUCUGGUCUCCGUGCCGGUGGCACGUAAAAAGCACAAUCCAAUUCGUGGCCAUUGCCAGCUUCGUCUGGUCUCCAUGCCGGUGGCAUGUAAAAAGCACCAUCCGAUCGUGGCCGUUUGCCAGCCCCGUCUGGCACCUGUGCCGGAGGCACGUAAAAAGCACCCACUACACUCACGGAGUGGUUGGCAUUAGGAAGGGCAUCCAGCUGUAGAAACACUGCCAGAUCAGACUGGGCCUGGUGCAGCCUUCUGGCUUCCCAGACCCCAGUUGAACCAUCCAACCCAUGCUAGCAUGGAAAGCGGACGUUAAACGAUGAUGAUGAUUAGCAUUUUACCUUUUACAUAUUACAUUUGAAAUCUUUUUGUUAUUAAAGGGUAAAACUGACUCUAUAACUUAUACAAAUCAUUGAAGAACAAAAGCUUACUCAAAUUCUAUGACAUCAGCCAUUUUGCUUAUCAAACAUUCCAGUUUUCUAUUGUUGUCUCAUUAAAAGAACUGACAGUAGUUUUGCUGUCAUUUAUGCAACAUAAAACUUAACUAAUUUAUUUUCUCAUAAAAGAUUAAUGGAUCUUCUGUCAUAUUUACCCCAUUUUCACAUAACAGCAAAUCUAGUCAUUUUCUUUUCUACUCCAAUACUAUUAUAAGAUAUCUAAAAUACCACCAGAGCCUUUUUUUUUUUGACAAUUUGUUGCACUGCAGGGAAUUAGAAAUGUCAGUGUCCUCUGCUCACUACUGCUAUAUACAUUCAAUUGUAAUGUACCAUUAGUGAAGAUAUUUCUACUACAAACAUUUAACCCAGAUAAUGGCUUCCCUCCACCCUACAUGAUAGAUGAUUUGAUAUCAAUAUGCGAGGAACUGAAGUAGUCACAAGCAGCACAGAUUCUUUUUCUUCAAUUAAUUUGAAGCAAAAUUAGAAACAAUGGAUUGAAUUAAAAUGGUUUGAAUUAAAAGAAUCUUCUUGUGAAGAAACAUUCGAGUACAAGGUGUAAAUAGACAAAUGUUUUCUGAACUAGCUGCAGCAGACACAAGUUUGACAAUAUUAAGCAAAGAGAAAUCUGUCAGAGUCUACCACUGUAGUAACUUAAUGUUCCCAGAAGCUAUGAUGAAUUCAGAGAAAAGUUGUCCAAAUCACAUUGAAAACUCUCAACUAAAUUUGAAGUUAGCUUCUGUGAGUUCUUCAUCCGAUAUUGUAUGUAGCGUGUCACAUAUUUAAUUAAUGUCAAUAGCGUUCCAUUCUAUAUAUUGCAAUUACUGUGAUGGUGUCUUGUUACGUCUUCUGAAAGCACCCUGCAUUAAAAAAUUUGUGGGUUUGACUUAUAAUAUAGAAUUCUUUGUUCUUCUACAGGGUGCAAAUACAAUCCACUAUGGAAUAUUGCUUCUAUCUUUGAACAACAGUUCAACUUGCAUGCUGUGUUUCCAUUUGCUUCUCAACAGAUCUCUCCAUCACAGCUCAUUUAUCUAGUCUCUCUUUCCCCUUUAUUUUUAUCAUUCAACCUAAAUUUUAAAGAGUAGAAGUAUGUCACAUAGGAAGCACUUUCUACCUUUUAUUGUUUUAAAAUCUAUAACUUACCCACUAUAAAAUACAAAACUAUAACCACAUUCAUAUUAUAUUUCACACUUUUGUGUGCAUAUUACAGACAAGCUGUGAGCAUUGUCCUUCCUUCAAGGAACAACAAAUACAGAAAAAUCAAUGGCAUUCAUCACCUGCUACUGAUGAAUCUAUGCACCUGGAUGGUUUCUAACCAAGGCAUACGCUUGGUUAAGGUAUUUUGAAAAAGUCUUGCUCUGCAGAUGAUGUUUUCAAGGAAAAGAAAGCCAGCGCUGAUGAAGUGAGGCACAGUGUGAUGAUAAAAUAAAGAUAAAGAUCAGAACAUUUGUAACAGUUGAUAAUUUAAUACACAGUGAUAAAUUUGUAGAGUGUGGGGAGUACACCGACCAUGGUGAAUUGAGUACAUAAAUCAUGCUGAGUAUAUGGAGGGUGGUGAGGUUGCUGACUGAUCAAAUUUUAUUCAAUUCUUGUGGUAUUUUGUCUUUUUGUUGAUCAAAUAAAAUCAGAAAAAUCCAGAAUUGUCCAUUUGAUUUGGUAGAAUUGAAACAGUUUGUUGUGUGAAGCAAUGGACACAUGUUACAAGAAUAGACUAAACUCUGGGCUGUAAACAAUGUAAAAUCAAUAGUGAAACAUAGAACUGGGUGGAAUCUAGUGAUUUUCUGCGUCAGUAACUAAAGUACCAAGAGUAAGAAUAGUGGAAUAGUGGAAGAGUAGAACAGUGGAGUAGUAGAAUAGUGGAACAGUGGAAGAGUAGAAUAUAUAUGUUCUGUUCUGGAGAAAAAAAUAAAAUAGGUUCACCAUAGAUUUAAUAAGUUUUAGAAAAGACUUAACAUUGAUUCAACAGUUUUCAUCAUCGUCAUCAUCAUCAUCAUCAUCAUCAUCUUCUUCUUCUUCUUCUUCUUCUUCUUCUUCUUCUUCUUCUUCUUCUUCCUCCACCCUUUGUGGGUUCAAUACCAUGAAUUGCCAUUUCAAUAGUUCUGCUGCUUUUCUAUUCGUUGUAUUUUAAAUCUGGCCAAUUCUUGAUAUUACAACCCUAUAUAAUAUUGUAUGGUUAUAGGUGAAAAAAGUUGUCAUAUUUCCAGUAAUUAAAUCACCGAAGUUAAUUAUUCAGAAAAACAAUAAUCAAAUUAGUGUUAACAUAUUUACUAUAAGGGACAUUAACAAUUUGAUUAGAAAUAAUUUUGUGGUGAGGAAAAAACAUUAAUAAGCCUGAAACUUGCCUAGAGUUAGCUCCCAUGUUUACUGCAAUGAUUAAAUUAAUAUAUAAUAUCUUGUAUUGACAUCUAUAGAAUAUAUUUCUAGAUUAUUACGACAGAAUAGAUGUGUAGAAUAAAGUAUAUACACCUAUAAGUAUUCAGCCAAUACUGCAUGUUCAAACAUGUUUAAAUGCCACCUUAAUAAUAAACGCAACUAUGCCUCUCCUACUUACAUACCUACUUCUCAAACGUGGUGGGUACUUUCUUCUAAACCAACUUUCACUAUUCUUCCAAUUCUGUCUUGAUAAUGGUGUUACUCCAGAGCAGUGGAAAACUGCCAGUGUUAUCCCUCUGUUCAAGAAAGGUGACCACACAUCACCUGUCAACUAUCGCCCCAUUAGUCUUACUAGCUGCAUCGCCAAACUGAUGGAAUCCUGUGUCAGGGAAACCCUCUGGAACUUCUGGAAGUCUCACAGCCUCAUCCAGCCGUCACAAUUUGGAUUUAUUCCUAACUCCAGCUGCUGUAAUCAACUCAUCGAGUUUCUUGAGGACAUUACCUAAAUCACUGAUCGCGGAUCCUGGGUGGAUGUUGUUUACCUGGACUUUGCUAAGGCUUUUAACUCUGUGCCACACAAAAGACUUAUGGUGAAACUCUCUGCAUUGGGCGUAAGAGACGAUCUCUAUAACUGGUUGAAGUCCUUUAUUUUUGGCCAAAAAGAGGUUGUCACAGUUCUAGGACAGCAUUCUUCACCCUAUGAGAUGACAUCUGGUGUACCACAGGGAUCUGUUCUUGGCCCCCUUUUAUUUGUUGCAUAUGUUAAUGUCUUAAAGAAUGCCACAGUGCUGAAAUAUGCAGAUGACAUCAAGCUGUACCUCAAAAUAAAGAGGUCAGAUCCUGUACACUAUAGAUCUCUAUUGCAAUCAGACCUGGACACAAUGCAGCAGUGGAUCAUGGACUGGCAACUGAAGCUGGCUGUGGACAAAUGUACCACCAUGCAUUUUGGGAGGAAAAACCCAGCGUCUACUUACUCCCUCCACAACACUAAUCUCAAAAAGUCUUCGUGUGAAUGUGACCUGGGUGUUAUUGUCGACAGCGAUUUGCGUUGGACAAAACACAUCGCUAAAAUUGCCAAGAAGGCUGAGGGUGUUUUGGCAUCACUCACCAAGUCCUUUGUGAGCCGCUCUCCGGCUAUCUAUCUGCGGCUUUAUAUAGCUAUGGUACAACCUCACCUGGAAUUUGCAUCACCGGUCUGGAACCCCUAUCUUGCCCAGCAUAUUAAUCGUCUGGAAGCCGUUCAGCGACGUGUAACCAAAAGAAUACCCUCCAUCAGGAGCACUGCAUCUUUCAAAACUUUCAUGCUUCCUGAGAUUCGCCAACACUACACCUAAUUUUCUCCCCUCCAUACGCACACAAGCAUGUAUCCGACUCAUACACUAUUCGCUUUCUAGACAUUUGUACAUUACUGCAUAUACUUUAUGUGCACUUUUUGACAAGUUGUGGUGCACCUGAGCACUGUAUACAAUAAUUUCAUGAUCAUUAUUAUUAUUAUAGAUGUAAGCAUAUUGUCUUUCUAUACACUGUCUUAGGAGACAGCAAAGGAGAACUCAACUAGACUAAUAUACAUUGAGUGUUGGCUAAAAAUCAAUAGAUAUACCCAAUAGCAUUGAAAAUUAACACUGUUAAUUUAUUGCAGUUUCUUUAAAUAAUAUUAGUCAUUUAGCUAAUAUUGUCUUUUCCUCACCACAUAGCUAUUUCUGAUUAAAUAUUUAAUGCUCGCUACAUUAAAUAUGUUACCAUUAAGAUAACUGUUGGUUUACGUAUAGAUAGCAUUACUGAAUGAUUAAGGUCUGUGAUUUAGUGUUUUUAAUAUUGAGAAAGAGUAUUUUAAAGAUAGCUCCUGAUCAUGUGAUGCGUAUGGAUGUGGACAGCUGCGUGAAGAAGUGCCGAUCUCUAUCAGUGGAAGGAAACUGUGGAAGAAGGAGACCCAGGAAGAUGUGGGACAAGGUGGUGAAGCGUGAUCUUCGAAUGUUGAGCCUCUUGGAGGCAAUGACUAGUGACUGAAACUUUUGGUAAUAUGCCAUGCUUAAGAAGACCUGUCAAAGCAAGUGAAAUCAUAGUUGUGGCUGUUGUUGGUGUCAUGUAACUGGCACAUAGAGAGCACCUUUCAAGCACUUGGGCCUCAUGGAGGCAAUGACACAUGACCAAUACCUUUGGCAAUAUGCUGUGCUUGAGAAAAAGAACCAUCAAGCCAAGUGAAAUCGUAGUCAUGACAGAUACUGGUGUCAUGCAACCGGCACGUAAAAGCACCCAUUACACUCUCAGAGUGGUGCGUGUAAGGAAGGACAUCCAGCCAUAGAAACCAUGCCAAUCAGACUGGAGUUUGGUGCAGCUCCUUAGCUUUCCAGCCCUAGUCAAACCAAUGCCAGCAUGGACAACAGGCACUAAAUGAUGAUGAUGAUGACGAUGACGAUGAUGGUGAUGACAAUGACGAUGAUGAUGAUGAUAAAGGCUAGAUUCCUAACAUAGUUUUGUUCUUUGUAUUUAAUUUCAUUGUCUCAUAAAAUGAACAACAACUAUAAACUCUGUAUUUUAGAAUUUCCUGUCUUUGUAUUUCAUCUUUGUAUUUCAUCUUGUGGCAUCUGAACUGACCUUUCCUCUUGUUGACUUCAUGUUCAAACUCUUCUUCUUUUGUCUCUGUCACACCCUUACCUUCAUACGAUGACCCUCUGCACAUAAUCACCUAACAUUCUACAUCUAUUCAUAUUACGUUACAAAACUAUUUCAUGUCCCCUUCCGAUCCCCUUUCCUCUUUGCUUUCAGUUCAUUUAGAGUCAGACUUUCUCAUAAAUUAACAUAUUUAAUGAAACAUACAUCCUUUAUUAUGGGUAUUUUCUCUUUGGAGUUUAUUCUCUAAAACAUCAUUCGCAUAGCAAGGUCAGCUCAUGUUGUAAGGUCUGCCGCUAACCUAAUGAACUGAGCCAAUUAAUUACUGUAUUCCCCAUUCUACAGUUCAUAAAAAUAAUCAUUUUUUUCUUUUUCUCCGUAAAGAAAGUCUCCCCAAAUCAUUCUGUAUCUUAGUGAUACUAAAAAGCCAAGUUGUAGAAUGGAGCUCAACAGUUGGGUCCAGAUUUCACUAGGGCCCGAACCUAUGGUUACAAUUUACUAAUUGUACUAAAUACUUCUCACUACCAUAGUCACCAUAUUUAUUAGUUUUGUAACGUUUUGAUGGUAAGCAGAAAUUUACGGUGAUUUAGUGGCAUCAGUAACCUAUGGUUACAAUUUACUAAUUGUACUAAAUACUUCUCACUACCAUAGUCACCAUAUUUAUUAGUUUUGUAACGUUUUGAUGGUAAGCAGAAAUUUACGGUGAUUUGGUGGCAUCAGUGGUGAGUGAAGAAUCAUUUGUUUGGUGUAUUAGGAAUUGACAAUGUCUUGGCUUUUGUAGGCAGGCAGAAGUAACAGCAAAGUAGACACCAUCUGUUACGUGUCAGUUUAGUUAUUCAGCCAAUAGUAACCUUCUACAACACUGUACAAUGUCAAUUAUGCAGGUUGCAGAGAAAACAGACGUACAUAAUUAGUUACAAGCUACAAGUUGUUAAAAUAUACCAAACAACAUGGCAACUAGACAGUUUAGAGACAGUAUGAACCAUCGCCAGCUGGAAAGAAUGAUUCAUGAAUGAAGACAACUGAAUGAGGCAUUAAUGAACACAAGAAUAAGCGAAAACAAAAAGGAAAGACUGUCAUUAAGAAGCCAAAUUUUCUCAACUGUAGAAAGAUAUAAAAUUAUGGCUACCCAGUCAAUUAUGUGUUGGGUAGAGAGGCUUCAACAAUAAUGUGCAAGGUAAAGUGAGUGGUAGAAAAGGGAAAUGUACCAGCAGGUGUGUUUGCUAGAUCAGCAUCUUGGUGCUACCAUUUUCACGAAGAGGCAUGAUUUAAUGACAGGAUCACACAGAUGUAUGAAGAAUACGAAGGAAAAAUCUUGGACUUGAACAAACAUGUGAACAGUAACAGGAAGAAGGAAAGAGAUUUAAAUAUAAAGCAAAUUAGCGAAUAUUAACAUUUGAUAGGCCCUCAAAGAAAAUGAAGUUGUAAAGAUGGUGACUAUAUAACCAUAUUGUUAUUUUGGUUUGUUGUGCCAGCAGGUAAAGCUGAAUUUAUCUUGGAAGAUUAUGAAAACAUAGAAACAGCAGCAGCAAUGAUAAUGCUAUUGAUGACAUUAGUGGAUGAUGUGUAUGUUUGUAAUAUAACAGUAUGUUUUAAUAUACAGUAAACUAAGCAUGGAGUUUGUGACAUUCUCAAGAAAUAUAUUUUACAUUUAAGUUGAAAGUUAAGAUACUUCUAUUGACUCUUUCUCUCAUCACCUUCUCUCUCCCUCCCUCCCUCUCUCUGGAUAUGAGAUUGUGGGUGCACCAAUGAUCUUCACAUUACUGAAUGGCUACCAGGGGAUGUAAGGGUAGUUGGGACUUGGUAAUAUCUCUGAAAUGCUUGUACAGGUACUUAGGAUAACAAACAAGCACAGUGUACAAUUUGUAGUAAUUAUAUCCAGUAACAGUGGAGUAAACUUAUUAAUGUACAUCCAUUUUAUUCUAAAUUAAAUAUUUUUAAAAAAUAAAUUUUUGAUGAUGCUUUGAAUUGUCAAAAAUUUCUUUUAAAAAUAUAACUUGUUAAUUAUGUAUAAGGUAAGACUUAUCAUUUGUAACUUUUCAUGAAGCAGAGUAAUUAUGCUCAUUAAAAUUACACUACUAAUGAGGAGAAAGAAUUGUUUAAUUAACAAUUAUGGUCAAGGAAGUUACACUACAUUGACCAUAUUUUAUUUUUAAUUAGUUUUGAUUUCAGAGUUGUCUACCCUGCCACUCUUACUUAGAAUUAAUCAUUAAACCAACAAUACUCUCUCUUCACCAUGGCUGUGUAAUUUGAAUUAAAACAUUGUUUGUUUCACUCUAAUGUUUGUCAAUAUUGUUUUUACAAUCUCCUAUGAGUGUCAACAGAAACACCCAGUCGAUGUAACUGCAAUAUCACUUGGGAGAACUGUAUUUUCUUUGUUAUUGCUUCUGUAGACUUGAAAUUGAUCUUACACUAGUAAUACUAGUUUCUUUAACUGACCACCUGGACACUGUGACCAUAUUUUCCCUAACCACAGAGUUACCACUGCCUUUGUCCAUUUACUCUUUGUGAGGAACCUGAAUAAGAACACCAGACAGAUUAAUUUCUUUGGAUGUUGUUUCUCAUUUACAGAUUAGUAAAAGAUGGGAGUUUUGUGCCAUCAACACAACAGGCUAAAAUAGCAAUAUAAUUGUAUAGUCACCAUCUUUACAACUUUAUUUUCAACAGUUUGAUGGCCUCUUAAAUAUUAAUGCUACUCUAUUUUUAUUGGCUAGUUUGAUCUAGAUCUAAAUCCCUGUCCUUCUUCCUGUCAUUGAUCACAAAUCUGUUAAACUCCAAAGGUUUUGUUCUUCAUAUUCUUUAGACAUCUGUGUAAUCCUGUCUUUAAGCCAUGUCUCUUCAUGAAAAUAGUAAUGCCUCAGUAAUUUACCCUCAUAAUAGUUUGCCUCUUAUAUGAUUGCAGGGAUAGGUAUAUUUUGCAAUCCCAACCUUAAAAUUUCAGUUUUAAAGACCCUAAUGGGUUUUGAACUCAGAACUUAAAGCUUUAUAACUCAAUACAAGGUGUUUUGUUUGUCACCCUGCCAAUCUUUGGCCCUAAAUAGAGGUGUUUCAACCCUUUCUUAACAUGAAAUAGUUGUUGUCUAAAACAGAUGUUUCCUCAAAUUGGAAUCAGUUUUCUGACUUUCAUAUCCUGCAGAAAUGUCUGAAACUCUAAAGAUUUCUGAGAACAAUGAUUGCUUUAACAAUUUCUGCUGAAGCUUGUUUAUCUGUCUCCAUUGAACAAGGGCUCCCUGUUCACAGUACAUGUCAAUACUAUAAACCUGUGUAUUUAACAAAACUGCAGGGCAACCAACAUCAAAAGGCGUCCAACACAGAAUGACAUUGAAUCAAUGUGGAACACAACUAUAGUGUGGUUGGCUUCUAAUUAAUGAUGGAACCUUUUUAUGGUCAACUGAACUACUAAAAGUAGAAGCCAAAUCUCCCUCUUCACAUACCAAGCAUGUUAUUUUUUAACUGUGUUGUUGUUGUUGUUGCUGUUGGCUCCAGAUGAGACCUGAUCCAACAGAACUUUGGAAAAAUGUAUUCCAACCAUGAUCAUCCCAUAAUUUUGUAUAGUUAGGACAACUUUGUUGUGUCCUUCCUUUUCUUAGUGUGGUUUAUGAGAGUGUUAUUAUGCCUAGCAGGUUGCCCAGCCACGCAUGUCAUUCGUUCCUACCGACUAAUCAAUGAGAGUCAGAAACAGUGUCACACAAUACUGUUAUAUUUUGCAAUGUUGUCUCUACAAAAUGAAUGCCUGCCUCAAUACAACAACAUCAAACCAUUUAAACUAAAUCACUGUAAAUGGAUUACCUUUACUGCUGACCUGUUUCAAGAAAUACAAAACUUACAAUUGAAACUCGAGAGUCAAUACUACCUGUAAUCGCUGUUGUAAAUACAUUUCACAGGUUUUGGUGUGGGUUUGAGGGGUGGGAAGGAAGUUGUGUCAUUGUACACCAGUGAAUUUUCUUCUCCCAAAGAAUUUUACUCUCAUUGCACAUUAUAGCGAAUAUAAAUACCUUGUCACACUUUAGGUAUAAAGUCCAAAAAAAUAUUCAAAAAAUAUAUUUGUAUUAGGUUUAAUAUGGGAAUGUAAAUAAUGCAAAUUUUACAAGAAUAUUAAUUACACACUUAUCUAUUAAUUAAGAUUAUUAAAAGAAACACAGAACUUUCUGGACUUUUGGUGACUAUAUAUUGGGUCAUCUUUGAGAUAAACACACCUUCCUUUCAUCCUCUCAUUGUAUUUUCCACAUCUUAAUAAUACGAAAACUCUACAGAUGUUUGUGUGUACCUGAAAUAUCUCAGAAACAGUAUAUUUUUAUCUUAAUUGGUUUUUUUGCCUAUUUAUUUUCAUAUUUACCUUUGGCAGUGCAAUACAAAUUUUUGUGACAUUUAGACCUUUAUAUAUUAAUGAAAACAAAUAAACACAAUUUUUGUGUUUACUCAUGACAUACAGAAUAUACACAUACAGAAUAUACACAUUUAUAAUGAAUGUCAUGGCAUGUCAGUCAACACAAACACACAUCCGCUAUCUUUGACAUACACACGUACAUAGUCUUCACGCUCUCUAAGAAAAAGCAAAAAAGGCUGACUUUUUGAUGUACACAAUAUUUUAAUCAUUUAGAAAUAUUUUUAACUGAAUGUGAUUUAAAAAAUGUAUAGUUUUUUUGUUCAGUAAGUAUUUAUAUUUUAGCUUUCUUUAAAGAGACAAUAUCUUAAUGUUUUUUUUAAUUAUUUUCAAGUCGUCAAUUUCUGUAAAAAUUUUUUAUUUAUUUACUUUUGUUCUAAAGUAAAGAUGUAUGUACGUGUGUGUGUGUAUGAAAGAGAGAGAGGAAGAGAGAAAAAGAGAGAGAGAGAAAGAGAGCAAAAGAGAGAGAGUGAGUGAAGGGGUGUGUUGUCAAAUAUAUGUACAUACAUCAUUGCAUAUUCGUACAUCUUUUUUGUAUGUAUGUGUGCAUGUGUGUGUGUGAGAGAGAGGGAGAGAGAGAGAGAGUGAGUGAACGUGUGUGUUCUCAUGUAUGUGUAAGUGGCACUCUCUCUCUCACACACACACAUGCACAUCUAUUUCAUAUACAUGUUCAUACAUCUUUCACUUUAAAACAAAAGUAAAUAUAUAAAAAAUUUUUUACGGAAAUUAACGAACAAAACUUCAUAAAGUUUAUGAGGGCCAAAAAAGAAUAUCCAUGUUCACUCUCAUUCACUCCUCAACCACUUUUGUUGGAUCCACUUAAUAAAUAAACCUGCUUGCACUUCUGAGCCACAGGAAUGCAGCACGAUCAUCUUUACAAUGUACUAGGAUGAUUCAACACAAUAAUAACAGCUGUUCAACAUAUCUGUUCAAUUAUUUACAUUAUUUACAUUUGGCGGAUAUUUGUUCACAUCGCCUUCAUCAGGUGUCUUGGGGAAAUUUCAAACCUGGGUUCUCAUUCCUAAGGUAUUUUUCAAUGUUGUUGUUGUUGUUGUUGUUGCUGUUGCUGUUGCUGCUGCUGCUGUUGUGAAGGUGCAUGGCUCAGUGGUUAGAGCGUCGAGCUUACGAUCGUAAGGUUGUGAGUUCGAAUCCUGGACCAGGCUGUGUGUUGUGUUCUUGAGCAAGACACUUUAUUUCACAUUGCUCCAGUUCACUCACCUGUAGAAAUGAGUUGCGAUGUCACAGGUGCCAAGCUGUAUCGGCCUUUGCCUUUCCCUUGGAUACAGUGGGGGCGUGGAGAGGGGAGGCCGGUAUGCAUGAGUGACUGCUGGUCUUCCAUAAACAACCUUGCCCAGACUUGUGCCUGAGAGGGUAACUUUCUAGGUGCAAUCCCAUGGUCAGUCAUGACUGACGGGGGUCUCAGCAUAUUAUUAUUAUUAUUCAGGUCACUGCCUGGAAUCGAACUUGGAAUCUUGGGGUUAGUAGCCCGCACUCUUAACCACUAUGCCAUAUGCCCAUGGGCAUAUCUGUUCAAGUCAGAAAUGUUUGUGCACUGGACAAGGACAAAAUGGUUUUGUUGCUCUGUACUCAUUCCAGACAGGCCCAGCUGAUGGUACUUCCACAUUUGUAGUUUAUCUCAAAUUUGUGAUACCGCCUGUUAGUUCUGCUUGGCCAAUGGUCUCUGUCCCAAAAGACUGAUAGAACAGACUAGCCACUUGAUUUUCAUCAACAACUUGAGUUUCCCCAUUAAUCAUCACUUUUGUCCGUCACUAAUUCUCUAUAUAGAACACCAACACAAAACUUCCACCUUACUGCACUGCUUGACUGGUAGAGGCCUGUGAGUACAUGAUGGCAUUUCAGAUGCCAAGUGCCCUGUCUUGGUCUUUGCUUGACCCCAGGACUGUUUUGGUAAAACAUGAACUGGGACAAAGCAUGAUGAUCAAGCAAUGAUAUAUGAUGAAAGCAUUGUAAGUAUUCACCACUUCUGCCGGACAUUUCAGUUCUUCAUUUCUGACUGAGAUUGGCCACUCUACUUGUCACUUCAUCCCAGUUCUUCUCCACUUGUAGAUUUAUACCACAACAGAUGUCGAACAAUUUAAUUGGUCUGUCUGUUCAGCACCACUUGAUGCUGUUGGAUGGUACGAACCUGAAUCUACUACUAAUAAUAAUAAUGUUUUCAUCAUCAUCAUCAUCAUCAUUAUUAUUAUUACUAUUUCACUAUUGCAUGUUAAUUUAGUUAGCAAGUAUUUUAUCUUGAGGGUUGGUGACAACAAUGAGUCUCCUCAAAUCUCCAGAAUCUUUCUUAGGAUUCCUGCAGAAUAUAGGAUGGUACUUUUGUGCAGGUCAAUAGCGAGGGUUUCAAUUCCAAUCUCUUUCAGUCUUUUAGGCAGCAUUUCAGAUAUUGUUGUCUUGGUCUUCCAGUCUCCUCAGCUCUCUGGCUAGAUUCUGAUAUUUCUCAUUUUUUUUCAAUUUCUUUGGUGUCAACCCUGCUACUAUGAGGAAUUGUAUAAUCUAUGAUCUUGUACUAUUUGUUUAUUUUGUGUUCUAUAGUCAUGUCUGAUCAUCUUGCCUUAACAGCAUGUUCAGUCUUUAUGUUGAAGUUCCACAAGAUUUUGUCAUUCUCAUUUUCUAUCAUGUCUUCUAGUUUAUGUUCAUAACACUUUUCUAUUGUUUCGAAGCCACACACUUGGCUAAUAUCCCAACACACUCUUUUGCCAAUACAUUCAUGUCUAUGCUUAUACUCCUUUUGUGCUAGUUUACUGCACUUACUCAAAAUGUGAUUGAUACUUUCAUCUCCUUUCCUGCAGAUUCUACAUUUACUGUCUGACUGAAUUUUAUUGAUCUUUGCCUUUAUCAGAUUUGUUCUAAGGGCUUGUUCCUGAGUGGUUAUAAUUAGUGUUUCUGUUUCUAGUUUCAAGUUCCUAUUCUUCAAGCACAGUAAUCUUCACUUAUUCUUGGUUCGUUGCAUGAAUUGGCCAUACAGGUUCAUUUCUUUCCAUUUGUUUAUUCUGUUGUUCUUCCGUUUCUUUUUGAAUUCUCCUACUGCUUCAGUCACUUUUUAGGUAUCUCUGCUUGCCAAAAGUACUUUUAUAUUAUUCUGCACAAUAUAAUUGUUCAGGCCCAGUGUCACACUACUAACAGUGCCAUCUUCGGUGCUUAGUAAUCCUCUACUACCUCCAUUUCUUGGCAGAUAAAGUCAGUCAGUAUUACUCUUAGGGUGGAGUGCAUUGUUAGGUGCUUUCUAGUUCUUCUAUCCAAGUUCUACGGUUCGAUCUUUGUCCAUUUCAGAAAGGGAGCUGAGUAUCUCUGUACUGGCAUUACCCGUGUAGUUGUGGCUUUAAUGAUGUUCCCUCCAUUUAAUUUUUGUUUCAAGCACCUUCCUACGUCUCCUCUUGUAGUUUUUAGUGACUUCUCUUUCCAUUAUUUUAUUGUCUUGCAGCACUCCUAAGCAUUUGUAUGCCUCAUUAUUCUGCAGUGAUCUAAUUAUGUUGUCCAGUGGUAAUUUUAUGCCAUCAGAAUUUACCUUCCACCCUCUUUUCAUUACUAGCUCUGUGCACUUAUCUACCCCAAACUGCAUUCCAAUAUUUUACUGAAUACUCACACUGUUUGGAUCAGAGGAUUCAGGUCUGCCUCAUCUUUUCUAUGUAUCUUGAGGUCAACCAUAUAAAGUAGGUGAUUUAUUCUUUCUUGGUUUCGGUACACUCAUAGGCAGGCCUGGAUUUUCUUAGUAUAUUUCUCAGGGGGAUUAACGCAAUGAUGAAAAGUAACAAAGAGAGUAAGUCUCCUUGGAAAAUGUGAUCCAUUUGCACAUUUCAGUUUUACUUCCUACACUUUCAAUGCUUUCUCCAAAAAGUUAUCUUCUCAUUGACUCCAAGCAUCCUCAGAUACUCCAAGAGCCAGCUGUGUGGGCCAUUGUAAUAGGCCUUCAUGUAAUCUAUCCAUCCAACAGCGAAAUUCUUCCUCCUUACUCAUACUUCAUUUAAUAUUCUGCUGUCUACAUACAACAGAUCAACAAUUCCCCUUCAUUUCUUCCCACAUGUUUUUUGCUCUUCUGGCAAUAGGUUCUCCUUUUCCAGAAAAUUAUAUACUUCUGCUAUGAGACCAGUUAAUAACUUCCAGAGUAAUGGUAAGCAAGUAAUUAGUCUAUAAUUGCUGUCUCAGCCCUCUCUUUCCUUUGUUCUUCUGUAUCAAAACUGUUCUUCCUUUUAUUAUCCAUGUUGAUGUUUCAUUUUCUAGACACUGACUAAAAAAUAGUCAUGUGUAUAUUUGGGAGGUUUUUGAGCCAGAAACCCUGGGUGCCAUCUGGUGUGGGGAACGGGGGCUUUCCAGUUUGAUAUUAUUAUUAGUAUUAAGGCAGUGAGCUGGCAGAAUUGUUAGCACACUGGACAAAAUGCUUAGCAGUAUUUUGCCCCUUUGCUCCAUUCUGAGUUCAAAUUUUACCAAGGUCAACUUUGCCUUUCAUCCUCUCAGGGUUGAUAAAAUAAGUACCAGUGAAACAGUGGGGUCGAUGUAAUCGACUUGUCCCCUUCCCCAAAACUGCUGCCUUUGUGGCAAAAUUUGAAGGCAUUAUUAUUAUUAUUAUUAUUAUUAGUAGUAGUAGUAGUAGUAGUAGUAGUAGUAGGAGUAAGAGCAGCAGCAGCAGUAGUAGUACUAGUAGUUCACCUUCUUGGCAGAUAUCUACCACAGCUAGCAGCAGAAUGGGGAAUUCUCAGUUAAGUGAAUGAAAAAAAAACCAUAUUAUUUUCAAGAUGUUAGCAAAGCAGUUGCUGGUUGUCAUUGUUAGUCUCACUUAUGAUGUACAAUUUGUCAUUCCAAACAGAUCUAUCUAUAAAAACCUCCACUUCAUGUGAUACAUCAUAAGCAAGGUAAGCAAGGAACUUGAUCAACUUAGCUUAAUCACAUGCCUUCAUUAGAGUUGAUCAUAUUUGGUUGUUGUCCUCAUGGCAGCUGGUUCUGACCCCAUCUUCAGGGGCUGAAUUGUAGCAACAUUUGCUUGGUGGUUGGGCUAAAUGGCCACCCAUCAGAGUCAUUUAGUACCAUGCAUUCAGUCUGUCAUGGUUGUCCCCUCUCAUCGAUAUUGCAAGCAAUUUCCAUUUCCCCAUCGUAGUGUUGAGCACCAAACACACAGAGGAGACUGGCACUACUCUAAGGGAGCAUGAGGUGUUGAACCAAGAAAAAGUCUAGGUUUACAGCUUGGCACCUGGAAAGGCAAGUCCAUGCCAUCUAACAACUUCAUAGAACACUGGGAGAUGGGUAGGUUAAGUUGUUCUAGGUCUGGUUUGGUCCAAAUCUCUAUUUAGACAAGAACUGAGACAAGGUGAUGGACACAUUGACUAGUCUCACUCAGAGAUGGGUUGGAGAGUAAACUAUCCUUGAAAGGUUGAGCAGAGAUGCUGAAUGUCUACAUUGCAUCCAUCGUUUAUUACUGCCUGACCAUUGUGCUGGUCCUACUUCAUGUCUGAACAGACAGCAGCACCUGCUCUUUUACUUUCUGUUGAAAGGGGAUAUGUUCCACAGGUGAGGUGCUUCAUUUGCUGAAUGGAGGACUGGCCAUACUGUAGCUAAUGACACACAGACAUGCAUCAUCUCCAGCAUUUUGUUUACAGUAAACAGGUUGGUCACCAUUUGUCAAUGCAUUUCUCCACAGCUUUUCUCUUUGAUGGAACCUCAGUUCUGGGUCAAGUGAAGACCAAGGGAAGGCACUUGGUAUCUGGAAUGUUAUCAAACACUCACAGUCCUCUACCAGCCAGGCAAUGCAGUUGGUGGAAAUUCCACUUUAGCAUUCUAUAGCGAAUUAGUGGCAGGCAAGUAUGAUGAUGCCCUUGGCAAAAAGCUGGCCAUCAAUGAAAAUCAACAGGCUAGUCUGGUCUGGAGGACUUUCAGUCCAGGACCCAUGGAUAACUUCCAUAAAUCCCUGGCCUUAUUGUGUUACUUGGGGGGGGGGGCGGCAUUACCAGUUCAAGAUAAACUCUAGAGGUUGGGCCUAUCUUUAGAACAGAAAGACCAUUCUGCACACACUUGGUCAGUGCUCAAGCAUUGUUGGCCUUAUUAUGCUAAACGGUGCUAUCUCAUAUAGGAUAAAGCCAGCUAUCAGCUGACUCCAUUGUGGAGAUUGCACCAUCCUUUGACCAGGAAAGCCAGGCAGUCUUUAUCUAUCUGGUCGUCAUGACAAAAGAGAUUGUGUAGUGAAUGAGACUAAAAGAGCUAAAAACAGACACUUUCAUCUUUGAUAAAACUCUAACUUUUUCAGGUUUCAAUAGAAAAGGAAUAUAGAGGUGGAGAGAGAAGUGUUGGCUUUCAUCACAUUUGUUGAAAGCUAGAUGAAAGUGAUGAGUAUGGUCUGAGUCAGUGGGCCUACUCUGAGCAUGCUCUUUUAGGCUGGAGGAGGUUUGAAUGGGGAGGGCAAUUGCCUAAGUGGCCCAGGUGACCAUGCUUUUAUGGUGUUUCCAAAACUAGCCCUCAGGUCUCCCUUCUAUUGAGGAAUUUUCAUUAUUUAAAAUUUCAUUUAUUAUCACCUUGUUAUUUUUGUCAUAAAUCUGUGUUCACAUUUCCAACUCCUCUGUAUUUGUCUUUUUUCAUAUCAAUGUUCUUUGUACAUUUUAUGCAAGCCCUUUUGGCCAAUAAAGAAACAUAACUACUACUACUACUACUACUACUACUACUACUACUACUACUACUACUACCACCACCACCACCACCACCACCACCACCAUUACUACUAAGGCAAGCUGGCAGAAUUGUUAGCACACUGAGCAAAAUGCUUAUCAGCAUUUCUUCCGUCUUUACAUUCUGAGUUCAAAUUCUGCUAAAGUCAACUUUGCCUUCUCUUCCUUUCAGAGUCGAUAAAAUAAGUACAUGUCAAGUACUGGAGUUGUAAUUGAUAACUAUUCCCCUCCCCUCAGAAAUUUGAAGGUGGUGAGCUGGCAGAUUAAAUUUUGUCUAUCUUUAUGUUCUGAAUUAAAAUUUUACCAAGUUUGACUUUGCCUCUCACCCAUUCUGGGUCAAUAAAGUAGCAGUUGAGCACUGGGGGCAAUAUAAUUGACUAGGCCCCCCACCCACAAAUUUCAGGCCUUGUGCCUUUAGUAGAAAGUAUUAUUAUUAUUAUUAUCAUUAUUAUUAAGGCAGUGAGCUGGCAGACUCAUUAGCACACCGGGUGAAAUGUUUAGUGAGAUUUCAUCUGUCACUACAUUCCAAGUUCAAAUAUUGCCAAGGUCAACUUUGCCUUCCAUCCUUUCUGGGUCAAUAAAAUAAAGUACCAGUGAAACACUGGGGUUGAUGUAAUCGACUAUACCCUCCUCACAAAUUUCAGUCUUUGUGACUAUAUCAGAAAGGAUCAUCAUCAUCACCACCACCGCCGCCGCCGCCACCAUCAUCAUCAUUAUUAUUAUUAUUAUUAUUAUUAUUAUUAUUAAAGUGGUGAGCUGGCAGAAUCAUUAGCAUGCAGGGCAAAAUGCUUGGUGGCAUUUUAUCCAUCUACAUUCUGAGUUCAAAUUCCACUGAAGUCGAUUUUGCCUUUCAUCCUCUCAGGGUCAAUAAAAUAUGUACCAGUCAUGUACUGGGGGGUUCCAUGUAAUCAACUUAUCCCUCUCCAAAAUUGCUGGCCUUGUGCCAAAAUUUGAAACCAUUACUACUAUUAUUAUUUCAUUUUAUUUUGUUACUAGGAUCUAUUUAUAGAUACAAUAAUGUUACCAAACCUGCUACAAAAAUGUGUAGGGAUAGAUGUAGAGUCUGACAUAAAAUGGGGGCAGGCGCAAAAGGCAUCAUUCAAUGUGUUUUAAGUAUCUUACAUAUUUUGCGAUUUGAAGAUGUGUCUGUUCUGUUGUGUAGAGCAGAUGAUAGCCGUGUACGUUUGCACCGUUUCUGUUGUCUAUUUAAUCGCUUGUAAGUAUAUAUAUUGAAACAAUACCUAAUUCUGUUUUCAUCUAAGGAAGAUCUUGUUUCCCCUAAACUUUUUGACAUCUUAUAGUCUCCUACAUUUUAUUUUCAACAGUCUUUCAGCUCCACCACAUCACAGUCUGACCUUUACUACUUCAUUGCAAACAAUUUUAAUUAUAUCAAACAUGAGUUUUAUAUUUAUACAAUGGCAUUAAUACUUCACAUAAUCACAAAUAUUUAUCAAAUGAUUGUUUGACUUCAUCAUUUUAGGGUCUGCCAUUCUAGCCUUGCUAUUUGUUUCAGUUCAAACUGCAUCAAACCAUGUUAUUUUGUUAUGUCUCUGUAUAUCAACUUUCUCCUCCUCUUUUCUACGACUGAUAUUUAAGAAGGCAACAGCAACAACAAACUCAAAUAUUUCACAACUUUCUCUUCUUUACACAAUAAUUAAAUUACUAUUCAACAUUCUUUAUAAUUAUAUGUCCCCAUUGUGUUAUAGCAAAUGUACUCUACUCCCUCCCUCUCUCUCCUCCUCCUCUCUCUCUUGUACUUCUUUUUCCAGCAAUUUCAUGACAACUAGUGCUGUUUAUGUCCUUUCUUUUUCUUUCUAUUUUAGAUUAGCCAAGUUAGUGGUAACAAUGUCAGAGUAACUUAAUAUGCAGUCACUCCUCCACUUACAAUACAAGAUGCUUGCAUUAAAAUACUCCUGAGCCAACCAACGGCCCAUGUUUCCAAAAA